rnacentral:lncRNA from 1 species
AGAAAUAUAAAUACAAAAAAAAGUAAAGAAAUAACACUGAAGUUGCACCAAACACUCAAUUGUAAUCUUUGAUUCUUUAUUAUCAGGUAGCAUUCUGCACUUGGAAAUUUGAUAACAGUAGCUUAAUUACCAAGUUCAUCAGUAAUAGAAAACAAACUACUUACAGUAGACAUUAAAUCAUACAUAAUAGUAUUCAAUGGUCACACAAGCAAGAAAUUAAACACAAGAGAGACAGAGGAGAUACACAGCAUCAAUCAAAUCUUAAACCAAAUAAACAAACGAAGUUAUUAAUCCGAAAUUCAAUUCGACUCAAUCCGAUCAUUUAUACGACUUGGGCGCCUUCGGAGCAGCGGUCAGAGUACGAGCGAACUUGUUCUUGACGUGACUUAUGUAGUCAGUGAACUUAUAAUCCGACGAAGUCGUAUUGUGCUUGUUUCGAUUCUGGUUCCGCUGCUCUCCUCCACCACCACCACCAACGGUGGAGAAUGUCCUUAGCUUCUUCCUCACGCGCCCAAUGUACGCGCCGAAGCUGUCCUCAAUGUGCACCCCUGACUUCUGGUGGUCGUCGUGGUUGUUAUAAUCCGACGGCCCAAAUGCUACACCAUGAUGAUGAUGAGGAUGAUGAUUCUCUUGUUGAUGCUGUGUUGGUGGUGGUGGUUGCGGUGGUUUGGAUUGGAUCUCAAUCACCCUUAUGGAAGGCUUCUCCACCGCGGCCGAUGGAGCUGAAGAUCGGCGGGGGGGGGGGGGGGGGGGGGGGGUGGUUGCUGGGCGUUGUGGUGGUGUUGGUGAUGCGGCGGGGACUGGUGGCGAAUGCUUGGUGGAUCUUCUUGCAGACGUGGUUCAGUGGGCAGCCGGCCUUUGAGUUGCAAUUGGUGCAUUCCAUGGUUUGGGAUAAAUUAGUUUAAUUUUUGGGAGAAAAAUUAAUGGUGGGUGAUGAGUUUGAGGAAAUUGAUUUGAAGGGUUGUUGUGUAAUUUAUAGGAUUUGCUUUGGAUGCUAAGUUAGUAUUAGAUUUUGUUGAAAUUUGGUGAUCUAAUUUUGUUUUGUGUUAAAAAAGGUUGGAUUGAUUUAAAUAGAGUUGUUUUGGACGUGGUAAAGUUGUGUGUUGAUGAUUUCGAAUUAUCAGAGUUUGAAUCUAGUUAAUUAAUGUUUAUUUUAUGCUUCUUAUUUUGUACUAAUUGUAGGGCUAGUCUUUGUUGAUAAACGUUGUAUCCCAAUAACCCGAAUUGUUGGGGUAGGAUUUUUAUUGAUGUUUAUAUUAUUCGUACUAACACGCCCCCUCAAACGGAAGCUCUCGUAAGAUCGUUGAGAUUAAUAAGUCAUGUACACGGAUUGGCGGCUAACGAGAUUCGAAACGGAAACCGCUCGGUUAUCAUAUAAGGCUAUGAGACAAUGUACGAAAAACAAGAUAAAAGAAAGAACACGAGAAUUUAACAUGGUAUCCGACCUCGAGAUCGAUUAAUCCACGGAGCACAACACGAGAAAAUUGUAUUAGUCUCGACAAAAAAAGAGGUCGAGAAUAACCAAUCAUAUUUUUUUAUAACUUUCAUUGUACUGUCCGUUUUCACAUAUUAUGAUUACAUUUUGUUUAGUCGUACAAAAAAUCGUGAAAUCAUUGUAAAUCCAUAUGACUUCUACUCUUUUAUUAUAGUGCAACUUUCGUCGUUGUCGUGCUCAUAGUGUUGUCCUGUAAAUAUUUUUCACAUAAAAUUUAUAUGUUGUCUCUUUCAAAAACGGGUUGGGAUAACCAAUCAUAUUUUGUAUAAUUUUCAUUGUACUAUCCAUUUUCACCAAUUAUCUCGUACGGAAAAUCGCAGAAUUAUUAUAAAUCCAUACAAGUUGUACGUACUCUCUUAUUAUAAUGGAGUUUGUGUCGUGGUCAUGCUCGCAGUGUUGUCCCGUAAGGAUUUUCCACAUAAAAUCGACGUGUGGUCUCUUUCAAUCUAUCGUUUAUCUAUGUUAUUGCAUGUCGAUUUUCGGCGGAUAUUUCGAGUUUAUGGAUGGGUGAUAAAGGGAAAUGUGCGAGAGAUAGGAGAGGGUGGGGAUCGAAUGCUAGUUGUUGUUUGGACGAUUUCAACUGGAAAAGGGAAGCAGGUGGCAUAAUCCGCAAUGGAAUCGGAUUCAUCUGGGACUUAGCUUGGGGUUUUAAAAUGGGUUUUAAUUUGGAGUGAUCCCUUUGCCUUUUUCUUCUACUUUUUUGACAUUUCUGCUCUUCUGCCAGUCUUUAAAUACUCAAAAUUAUGCAGGCGAAUUGAUUGAGUAAGAAUCAAUUAGGAGAAGAAGUUUCCAUUUAUUUUGAAAUUAAGGACCUAAUGGGUUUGAAAGCUAUUUUCCUUUCUUGUUGCUUGUUCAUGUAAUAAUGCUGUUGGCCACCACACAAUUUUGUGUAGAAUGAGUCAUACAAGAAUCACUUUGCAUAUAAAAUAGCCAAUGUUGUUGUUUGGGUGUAAUGAGUUGAUUAUUAACAUUAUAUCGAUACUUAAAUCGUGUGUGACUGAUUAACCCAACUCCAAACCACUGUUCGUUCUAAGGUGCAUGGGCUGCGACACAUUACAGGGUACGCACCAGACUCAUUAGGGCUUUGUACCGGUUGGUUCUAUAUGCCUCUUGUACACCUCUCAAUAUAACUACUAGCGAUGUAUAAAUCGUUCCGGAAUAAAGUUUUUGCACUGUAAAGUUUGUGUUGCAUGUGGAAUUUUGUACAAUUAUCCUGCAGAGUUGAUUCCCACGUUUUAUGCCUUUCUGGUGAGACACGCUACGUAGGAACGAACGAACACCCAGAUUCCACAGUUAGCUCAAGUCCCAUGAUCUUGCCUAAAAAGUGAUUUCCUUUUCAAGAAGAAGAAGAAGAAAAACAGAAGCAGAGAGACGAACUGUGGCAUUGAGCAUCCCAAUGAUGAGAAUCAGUUUGGAACUGUUGAGCCCAAGCGUAGGCUCUCCUUUGGCUGUAAGUGUCCUGCUAUCAUCCACUCACUCACUCGCCUUUUUCUAACAUUGGGAACAAUCAUUCAACUUUCAGGGAUUACUUAAUUAAUGGGCUUAAUCUUCAGCACUUCUCUGAACCAGAAAGUUCAAAUAUGUUGCUUCUGGAUUAUGUUAAAGAGUUUCAAAUAUUAUGCUCACGCAGCUGUAACAAUUACACCUUGCAUGGUACCGGGAACAAGUGGGCUGUAUGAAAAAUGCGGAAAUGGGCUUGAAAGUGUAGUUGAUUUGGACCAACUAACAAUGGGCCCAACAACUAUUGAUGACCAUAUAAGUUUCACACCGAGUUAUAGACAAUGUGCCGGGUAUAAGUAUUUAGCCCUCGUUUGGUAUGCAGUAAUGAAGAGUGGGAGAAAAGUAGAAAAAGGGAAUUGAGUAAUCAGAGAUUGUGUAAUUCUAAUUAUAUUGUUUGGUGACAAGGUUUGCAAUUGAAAUAUAAUUUUCAGUUUGUUAGGGAUUUAUUGUGCAAUGACCAUGAUGCCCUUAUUUGAAAUCCAAUUUCAAGACCCAUCAUCUUCUAGUUAGCAAAAAUUCGUUUAAUACUCGUAUAAUACACAUAUACAUACUAUAUGCGUUUAGAACUUCCGUUCUCGUACUAUUGUAGAGCCGUUUAAUUUUAAACUUUUAAUAUUUUCUAAUUGUUGCCUAAAUUUAAACGUAUUACAAUGUAUGAAACUCUGAACGUAUUAAUAUUGUACCAUACUCGUCCCGUAUUUUAAUAACUAUAAAUGAGAACAAAUCCGAUACCCACCACUAUUUAUAUUUCAUAGGGAAGAAGAACUAAUAUUUGUACAUAUCUACAACCAUAUAUUAUAAUAUGUCAUGGCUAAUCAUAUAAUUUUUCCAAGUAUGCAUUACAUAAUUGCAAUAAUAUAUUACAUGUUUUGGCUAAUCAAACCAAUACCUCACUUUUAUUCUUCACCUCGGUUGUUAUAGUCGUUUUGAUAAAACCCUCCUAAUUUUCUCUAUACCAAACGAGGCCUUAACUAUUAUAAAAUCUCCGUGUAGAACUUUGAUUUCAGAUAAAUAUUCUUUUUCCCAAGAUAGAAGACGGGAAAUAAAUUGGUGUUCAUUUCGUGGGGAAUAUUGGAUUUGAAUCCGGGACUUUUGGGUAACCAGACACACGCUUCACCACUAGAAUAAUUUCACUUGGGUUUAGAUAUUUUAUAUAGUAUUUCAUCGAUUUGGGAUCGAACAACUAUAAAUAGUGUUCCGUUAUUCGUUGAUACCCAUGUCAUCAUAGUUGAAUUGGAGUAGAAAAAUAUUUGUGGAUGAAAACUUAGAUAAAAUGAUACAAGGAUUCCAAUUGGAAUUAUGUUUCUCAAUCUACUCAAGGAGAAAAUCAAUUUCCCUAAAAAUCCAUUAUAUCAUUUGAUUUCACAUUGAUUGAUUGACAUGGUCUGUCUCAAAAAACAACCCCAUAAACUAGUAAAACUCAGCUCGGUGUCGAAUCAAGUUGAUCAAAGGCUCGAAUCGCUAUGAAAAUCGAACACUUUGUAUGUUAUAAGUAGACAUGUCAAGUAUCAAGUAUGGCAAAUAGAAGUCGAUAGCAAAGACAUUUAAUGUCACGGAUCAUGAUAACUUUCUCGAUCAAUGACUUUGAAGUACUAUAAAUAAUAAACUGACGGCAUUUUUGCUCAAUAGUGCAAAGACAAUGAAAAGGUAAGGACUUUUCCAAUUCAUGACACAGAAAACAUUACAUGUAGUUAGCACUUAGCAACAGUACUAGUUGAAGGAUUACGGGUGAAGUUGUUCUUGACAUGGCUGAUCUAAUCCGAGAACUCGUCUCUCCCGCCAUCCGCUGACAUCAAUGAUGCUGAGCUAUUAUGCUUAUUAUUCAAGGUGGAAAAUGUCCUAAGCUUCUUCUUGGCCUGAAAAUCGGUUAAUUCGGUUAUUAACCGUUGGUUAACGGUGGGGAAAGCGUUUUGUUGACUGAAAUUGAUUAACCGAAUUAACCGAUCGAGCGGAGCUCACGGUUAAUCUGACUGACCAAUAACCGACCAGUCGGUUAAAUGACCGAAUUUAAACGACCGAAUCACCGGUUAACCGAAUAAAUUAUCAAUUAACCGACCUCCUUGAGGAGAAAAUUUGAUUUUUUCUUAUUAUCGGUUAACUCGAGUUAACCUACAGUUUUAACCGAUUAACCGUUUACCCGACUCCAACAAUGACUCUUAACCAUUCAGCGACCGCCGUCGACCUCGGUUAAACCGAUUUUCUAACCGAGUCGGUCGGUUAAUAACCGAGACCGAUUUUCCAGCCUUAUUCUUCACCCUCCCAAUGUAGUCCCCAAACUUCUCCUCCACAUGGACCCAGACGACUUCACCAUCAUCGUCGUCUCCUCCGGUUUGAACGACACAACUCGAUUGUUCUUUUCCUCUAACGGGUGUGGUUUUUUAGCAAUUACCACUCCUGUUGUGGUGCCUGCAGUCCUUGACUGGACCGCAGCCACCACAAUCGGGGUAGUAGGGGGAAGGCGAGUGUUGUCAUUGUUAGUGGCGAUGGGGGUGGGGCCGAUUCGAGCCGAGGUAGCAGUAGGACCAGCAACUACUGCCUUCUUGCAGAGCUUUUGACAAAUGUGAUUCAGAGGGCACCCGUUUUUCUUGCUGAUGCUUUCCAUUUGGGAGCCAGUGAGGGUUUGCUUGCUUUGUGAAGGAUAUGGAUAACACUAUAUAAAAGUUACUGAAAAGGAAGCAAGAAAUAUGUUCUUUUGCCUUCUUGUUUGAUGGGAUUGGGGGAUCACAUUCUAACUUUUGAAGAUUUCAACCCACCAGUUUGGUAUCGGCUUCAUCCAUUCAUUUCCGUCUUGGUGAGUACUUAGGGUUCACAAAUUUUUCCAAUGGAUAUUCCACAUUGAUCGAUCUCACGGUUUAAUUGGCACGAGCAGUCUUUCAGAGGAAGUGGGAUGUCACAGAGUCUGGUAGAAUGUUCUUCAUAACCAACAUUUGUUUAAGGUCAUUUACGUUGAAGAAUGUGAUAGUUCAUGAGUUCGUUUUUUAACCAUGAAGUGGAGCAAUACUUGCAUCCUAAUCUGAAAUUUUGAGUUCUUAUGUCACAUCGUACACAAAUAUACGUAAAUAAAUGCUUGAACCAACCAUGUGUUAAUCGACUGAAGUUUCCUAUUUCUCAUUAAAAUGUGGAUGAACUUUCCCACAUGUCUAACCUAACAACUACUAACUUCUAGGAGACGUACACCUAUACAACGAAUGAACUAAUCGGCAUCCUUUACAAAAACAAGCCUAUACAAUGCCAAUUCUACGCAAAUCCAUCUCCACAUCCCCUAUAUGAACACAUCUAAAAGACUAUGUAGGAUUCAUGAAUGAAUUAUGGUUAGAAUCCGCUUCAAGAUGGCAUCAAAAUGCAUUGUUUCACCUUCGAGACUGCCGGAUCCCUCUUCGUAGUCUUCGCAGGCUCUUGCUCAAAAUUUACAAUUCGAAGUUGUAACAAGGUAGCAUUUGGCUAUUCGAGAUUGAGUUCCCGAGUUCUGUCAGCACUGCACAAUAAAAUACAAAAUGCCUCCAUCAGCCUUUUAUGUGCAAAAAGAAGGUGCCUUUUCAGAUGUAAUUACAUGGUUCAAUGCAAAAACAUGCCGACAGAUUACAGAUUUUCAUCUUCAAACAAGUCAUUAGCAUGCAUGAUCAAUUCAUCAAGGCAACUUGGAAAAUCACUACCACCAACUCUGAGUUACUAAAUUCUUUAUAUAACAAUUCUAAAGUUAGUUCCCUUUCCCCGCAGAUAUGAACGCUUGCUCAGAACUCAGAUUUUUGGCAUCUAUGUUAAAAUCACCCUACCUACAACUCAAAAGCUUGAACAAUAAAAAAACAUCAUGACACCAUUAUAACUAUCCAGAGAACUGUUCUACCUGUUAAUUCCAAAUUCAGGAGACUGACUGCAAGAAGAACGUACCAUUCUCCUGGUGUUCUCGUCUGACAUAUCCGAUGAUGCAUUGUAGCUGCAGCUAGAAGAGGGCAAAGGAGGAGGACAAUCUUUGUUUAUAGCACGGCGCACCAACCCACAACGAUAUUGUGCACCGUUCCAAGAGCUACUACCCUCAGCGUCCUCUUUACCAGGUGAAUGAAGCCAAUGCAUUGAAGCCUUGACAGGGAAUGCAGAUGGUGAAAGAUCACCAGAAUAAUGAUCAUCAAUGUCAAACGUAUCGACAACUAUAUCUUCCCCAACAACAAGUAAGCCCCUAGGCCUACACUUCUUCUUGUCUGGGGUUCCAGACAAAAGAUGGCCAGCACCAUAGCAAACAGGUGUAGUGGUUACACUCUUUGAAGAAGAUGGACACUGUUGUUGUAUCUCCUCAGGAGAUACUGUGCUAUGAAGCGGAGGAGUUUUCGUGUCAAUGCUGCUACUCUCUGAAUUACCACUCUUCAAGCUACUGCUACUAUCUUUACAUUUCCCUUCAUCCCCAAUGGCUGUAACAUUCAAACCAGACCACACAUCUCCAGUACGAGUUCUUAAAGGAGUGGAAUUCAAAUCAGACCGAGCUUUUCGAUUACUAUCAAACUCCCCCACAUCUCCAGAUCCAGACUUUAGCCUACUUAUAUUACUGCCAUUCUUGCCUUUCCCUUCAACGACUGCAACAUUCAAACUAGAUGACACACCUCCAGUUGUUAUUAAAGGAGUCGAAUUCGGAUUAGACCGAGCACGAUUCGAAUCAGACUUCAGGCUACUUACAUCAUGAGUACCCACUGAUCUCAACGGGGAAACCCUAGAACUGGGUUUGGCAGCAGUUGGGUUCGACUUAUUAGGGGUUUUAGCAGAGGAAAUGGGCUUGUUGAGCUUUACGAAAGGUGGUAUGUGCUUCUGAUUGUUAUUAUUGUUCUUCCGCCUGCUACUACUACGAUCAUUGGAAGUGGGUUUUGCAGAGUGAUUGAGAUAGAACCUGAGACAUCCUCGAGGGCAGCAUUUGCUGAGAUCUUGAAAUGGACUGCGGAUUUCCUCCUCCUCCUCCUCCUGUGUUUGCUUCCUCUGUUUCUGCUUCGACUUGGUCGGGUUUAAGAAAGUUUGUUUCUUUUCUCCCCGCUGGCCGGAAGUUGAUCGGAACAAUGACUGCUUCAUUUGAUUUAGCAGAAAGAGAACUAAUUUGUUCUUUUCAUUCUUUGAACGAACAGGAGAAAAGGACAAAAUUGUAAGCGCAGAGUGGCAGAGUUCUCAAGUAUAUAUUUGGACCUUUAGAUUGAAAUUCAGGGACCAUUAGAUUAGAUUUUUCAAAUUUCGGGACCAUUCUGUAGCGUUUUUGAAGUUUCAGUAUCAGUUUGUAAUCCAGUCCCAAACUUUCAGAGUAUUUGAAGUUUCAAACUUCCAUAGUUUUUAAAGUUUCAGUAACACCUGAACUCAAGUCAAAAUCAUCGUCCUCCUCCUUGUUGUUGUAGAUAUGGAAGAACCAGGUCAUCCGCACCCCUAUGUACCGAGGGAUUUGAAACUCCCGGGUUUCGUCCCUCCAUUUCUGUCUCAGUCCGCUAUCCUCGGAAUCUUCGGCGCCGUCUCUCUUCUCGUCGUCUCAAUCGUCUGGCUUUUCUCUGGUUUGCUUCUUCCCUUCUCCCUUGUCCAAUCUGUUUGCAAUGUUGUUAAGAUUUCAUCUUUAUCAACUCCGCAUUACUUGACUUAAUUCGUUACUCUUACACUGAAGUUGUACAAAGUUCUGUAACUCCAGAGUCAUGAAUGAACUGAAACAGGCAUCUCCCGCAAGAAAAUUGGUAAACUUGACAGACUGCUAAUGUGCUGGUGGGCUUUCACUGGUCUCACCCACUUGAUUCUCGAAGGCUAUUUCGCAUUUGCACCCGAGUUUUACAAGGACAAAUCUGGCUUCUUUCUUGCUGAAGUCUGUGAGUAGUCUAAAUCCUUUAACUCAACAGAUCUAGUGCUAUGAGAAGAGAUCCAAAUCCCCAAAACAAUCUAAUACCUUGAUAACAAAUCAUUUCACAGGGAAAGAAUACAGCAAGGGUGAUUCAAGAUAUGCAGCAAGAGAUUCUGGUGUAGUCUCUGUGGAAGGAUUGACUGCAGUCUUGGAAGGUCCAGCGUGCCUUUUAGCCGUGUAUGGAUAAAUCUCUUCUCAUUAGUUGUUUCACUAACAGUGAUAAUGCUUCUUGUUUUCUAAUAUGUUUUUGCAAAAUGAUGGUUUGUUGCAGAUAUGGUAUUGCUGCGGGGAAGUCCUACAGCUACAUACUGCAGUUUGCUAUUUCUUUAGGCCAGCUAUAUGGAACUGCAGUCUAUUUCAUUACCGCUUAUCUCGAAGGCGAUAACUUUGCUGCCACUCCCUUUUACUACUAUGCCUACUACAUUGGUGCAAAUGCUUCCUGGGUUGUCGUACCUUCGCUCAUCGCCUUGCGCUGUUGGAGGAAGACUUGUCAAGCCUUUAGCGUCCAAGCAUCAUCCAGAAAGACCAAAACUCGCUGAACUGUGCGGAAUUUUCUCAACCUGGCUGAUGCGCUCAUUUGUUGUACUUUUUUUUAUAAAGUCAUUUGUGGUACUUGUUUGCUGAAUUAGUCUCUGUUGGAAUUGGUAAUUUGUGAAUUGGAUGGUUUGCCGUCUUACUGUUGGGUAAAAGGUGAUGCUGGAAAUGCAUCCAACAUGAUCAGUUUGGUAUCGAAUUCAUCCAUUCAUUUUGGUAUGUUGCCUGAUUACUCCCGAUCGACUACUCUUCAUGAGUGAGUUGGACAAAAACACAAGUAAUUUGGACGAAUCAAUCGAAUAAAGUACGUAACUAAAGAAACGGAGUAUUGUGAUUAUAAGAAACUAGAUUGUAAGUGUUGAGCUAUGGAGGCUGAUGGACCGAACGUAGAUAUGUAAUCGAGUCUAAUCCAAGUGUACGGUAACCCAAUUCACCGGUGGGAAAACAUUGUCGUUUCAGCAGGGAAAGAAUCAAAAUCAAUCGAUUCUAGUAUUCAACCCCAUCUUUUUCCAUCCAAUUUUCUAUCUUCAAUCAUUAAUUCGAUAUUUUUUGAAUAAUUUUAGUACUUAUUGAAACAAUUCAACUACAAUUCUCUACCGUUAAAAACAUUCAACCUCCUACCACUAUCAUUUCCAGUUUGCUAACCGGUAAUCCGUAAGGGUUCUUAAUCAUUCAACUAUAUAAACAAAGGGCAAAAAGCUCAGGCAGAAACCAAAUCACAUUAACCUCAUUCUGUCAGAUCUACAACCCAUGAACCAACUGACCAAAAGUAUGAACCUUGCAACAAAUUUCUCAACUCUUGUUAUAUUUACAACUCAUGCACACCCUACAAAAUUGUUUGUUUGUUAGGGAUGUUGAAAUGUUCGCCGCAGUUCUUCGAUCAUCCGCAAUGGCUUUACACAAGUAGAGGAAAUCCUGAAAGCUCUUCCUGACAGCAGAAUCUGUUGAUUUUCGAGGAAAUCCUGAAAGCUCUUCCUGACAGCAGAAUCUGUUGAUUUUCGAGGAAAUCCUGAAAGCUCUUCCUGACAGCAGAAUCUGAUGAUUUUCAGCACCCUCCUCCAAGUCUCUGUAUCUCAAAAACCAAAAUCAACUCUCAGCGAUGCAUAUACCAUCUUCGGUCAAUGCCGAUAAGUCUUGACCACCUGUUCUAUCCGUCUCCGGCAAAGUGGACAGCUGCUUAGAUGCGAACAGCAAGUUGUACAACAGCACAUAUGCCCACACCUGCGCAUCGUAGUAAGACAGUUAACAAUCAAGAAUUCAAUUUGCGGCACAGAGACGAGAUGGGUACGGUUACUUACGGUAGGAACACGGCGUUGUACUCAUUCUCGAGACAUAUUACACAUAUAUCCGGAACACGGUCUCUCUUUGAACCAUCGGAGUCAUCCUCAGCCGUUGCAUUCAAACCUGAACAGAAACUCUGAGUAGUCUGGUAAACUGUCAAUAAAGGAAACAUCUUUGAGACGUUCUCGGUUCGAAAACUUACUUUCAGUGUCUUGAUUGCCUGAUCUUUUUGCAGCAGCAGCAGCAAGAACCCUGCAAUAACUAGUUAUAAUGCCUAUCUUUCUAUUCCACAUACAACAAUAUAGGGAAAUGACGCGAGUAAUUACUUUCUGUGUAGAUCCCAUCGUCGCCUUCUCUCCAUGAUGUACUCUACGGCUUGCUUAGCAAUCAGAAAAGCACCAAACACUGUCAAUCCAGCCGAGGCAUACUUAUAUAACCUGCCAUUAUACAUAGAUAAUUCCCGGUCAGGAAAGUUGGAUGCUUUAGAAGGAAGUCCUUUGUUGCAGUUCGAUAUUUUUUAAUAAUGAACACAUACUGUUGAGCAGAUAUCGAGUUUAAGAAAGAAAAACCUUGCCCACUUCCCCAGAUUGCCAAUGAGUUCAUCAAUAUUUUUAGGAGAUACAUAAAAGGGCCCCUUAUGUGGACGCUGAAUCCGAACUUUCCCAAUAUCAUCUUUGACAGCCUAAUAUCAUGAUCAUGUAGAUUAAGGAAAACACAUAAUCAGAAAUUUACAAAAAUUCUCACUUUAAAUUGAUCAUCGGAGAUUCACAACAAUGACUGUAAAAGUAUUUGAAAGUUGGCAUGAAUUAUGAACUCACUGUUCAUCAUCUAAUUAGCAAUUGUGCAAAUAAUGACGCACAAGAUCCACCCUUAUCCAUACUAACUAUUGGUUCAGACAUGCAAAUAAGAUGCAGCGAAAGGACAAAAGUAUGAUCUCCAGCAAUAUACAUAAGUGAGCUUCAAGGAAAUAAAGAAUACAAUACCUCGCCAACUACAGUUAAUGAUGUUCCAGUUGGAAGUACCCUCUCAAUCCGCUUCACUCCAAGCAUCUGCAACCACAAAGGCCACAGAACAAACUUCAUGAAAAGGAACCAACUGCACAAUUGGCUCAUAUACUAGAAAAAAAACAUCAAAAGGACAAACCUUCAAGCCCUGAAGAUAAUCAAGUGUUCCACGUACCAGCGACCGCCCAGAUUCUUCAAAGACUUCACUUGCCACAGUCAACACAAAGCCAGAGGCACCCCGGGCCCCGAGAACGAAAGCACGAUCAGUUCCAUCAUCCUGUCCAUAAAGCAGAGUUAAGUGUGAACAUUACACCUCGAGACAUGUCUUAUUCCAUGCUAACCAGCAACAAAGAACAGAUUUUUAACAAGGAAAGAAGGCCACUCACCAAGUACCAUGGCACCUCUUUACUCAUCGAUAGCAUCAACGCCGAAUCUUGAAUCCAAGACCCAGCAUCAUUAUGCUUAAGAAAAUGCUGCUCCGCCUGAAGGCAGGCAUAACACAGUUAAAAGAUGCAAGACAUUAGUUUUAACACACUUCUGUAAACUCUAUAUCAAAAUCUAAUUUGACAUUACCGUCUCCUCCACUAUAACACCUCUCAGACCGCUGAACUCACAGUUUAUCGGUGUCUCGGAUCCAACUCUACCCGAAAUUGCCACAACCAGAGGCAGGAGAUUGUUCUCAACGUCAAAUAGUUUCGCUGCCAAGUUCAAAAGUUUACUCAUUUGAUCAAAAUCCAUCAUGAACUAGUACAUUCCACCCUUUACAGUAGAAGCAUAAAAACAAAUCCUGUUAUUGUUGUACAUUUUUCAACCAGCAGAUUGUCCAGACAGCAAACAGAUAAAGAAAAAAGAAACUUGGCUAAUCAGCUCAUAACCACAUAUAAAUAUACAAUUGAUACAACAAAUUCAGCUUAGAAACAAAGCAUGAAUACCCAAUUCCUUGAGCUGAUUGACUCUUGUGACGGACUUAAGAGCUUCAGCAUCCCUGCCACUGCUUCUCCCAAGCAAAUAGAGGGCGGCUGCACUUAAGCAGCAGCCAAUUCCUCCCCAUGGAACCAUCAUCUAUUCUUUGCCCAAACACAGCUCAGAAACCCUAGUCUUUUCUGUUCAAAAUCACCUACCACUGGUCAGAUAGAAACUCAUGGGAACCCAUAACCCACUUUUCAAUUUUGCUCGAAAACGAUAAAUUGGGGAAACGGGGAUAGAUCAAAAUUACAGAGUUGAACCGCAACUGAAUCAAUAAGGCUGGAAAGGAGAUUAAUAAACCGCGGGGGGGAUGGAAUCUGAUGCUAGGAAUGAGAGAAAGGAAGGUGGAGAUGCAUUGGAUAGAGCUGCAAGAGACGUAAAGGGGAGAAAGUAUGAACAAGGAAGCGCCUUUUGAUGUUUAUUUCUUCUCCGGUGGUGGAGCUCGCUCUUGCCGAUGUGUAAUUAACUGCACUCGGAUAAAGCUUUGUAUUAUUCAGCCAUUUUUUUGCGCUCGUGUUUUUCUCAAUAUUUUAGAUGUGGAAUGGACUCUGUGGAUAAUGUUUAAUUGUUUUUAGUAUAUAGAAAUUACUUAAUUGUUUAUUCUAAUAGAAGAUAAUUGUUUAUUAUAAACAUAAUAAUUUUAGAGCAUUUUCAAUUUAAUUUUUAACUAGAAGUUAAUAAGAUACUCAUAUAAAUGUGCUUUUUAAAUUAGUAAACUUACUUUUAUAUUGCUUUAGGGUUUGGACCGGUGACCAAGUUUGCCGACUUUUUCUGAGGUUAUGGGGGUGGGGGGUUACAUGUUCCGUGUGUUACCCGACUCACUCUCGAGUCUUAAGUUUCAGGCCAAACCCAAUAUGUUUAUUUUAACACAAAUUUUUCCCUCGCCCGCACAUCGUAGUCAUAAGGCUAUCGUACUAUAUGCAGAAAAUUACGAUAAUGAUCACAUAUACAACCAGACUACAAAAUUAUUAUUAUUUCAUCUAAUCAAUCUUUUAUAAUCGAGACAACCACAAAAAAAUAAAACAAAAUAAAAAUUAUGAGAACUUCAACUCGAACUCGGGAGCUCAAAAUUAAUGUACCAUCGAACUAUUCAUCAUCUUCUACUUCCACACUCCAAACACUCGAGGCAUUCCUCCAACCGGUCUGACCCUGGGCUGGGCCUUCGACUGUGGGCUUUAGAUUUGGGCCUGUUAACUGCGAUUGGACUCAGGACCUGUUUGAACAAGCUUGAAUGACAAGCAAAGUCCAAUAAGGCCCAUUUCCAAGACGAUUGAGCCGGGUAACCCGAAAUCGCCGUCCAUAUCGGGUUGGCUGCUGGUUCGGCAAAGACGGCUAAAACCCUUCUGGAAAGAGAAAGCCAGAAGAAAACCCCUAAAACCCAAUUACUACCUUCACAGCCUCCUCCGCCACUCUUUCUUAGCUUCCACUUCAGCUGAUCCCGAUAUUCCCCGAAAAUGGCUUCCGUCGUCCUCCGAAACCCUAAUUCCAAGCGCCUCUUAACAUCUUCUUCUCCAAUCUACUGGGGUUGCCGAGGCGGAUCAGCCAUUACUCAUCAUUCUUCUAUCCAUGGAAAUGACUCAACAUCGCCUUCUGUUGCUUCGUGGUGGAGAUCCAUGGCCACUUUCACAAGGACGUGAGUUUUUUUUUAAUCAAAAUCAAAUCUCUCCGGUUUUCUCUAUUUUGAUGGAUUCGAAGCUUUGCUUCAGUUGAUUUCUGUGUUGUUUUUUGUUACAGUAAGCCUCACGUCAAUGUUGGAACAAUUGGCCACGUUGAUCAUGGAAAGACUACUCUCACUGCGGCAAUUACCAGGGUUUGUCCUCGUUUAGGCUUACUAGUUACUCAUCAGUAGAGGAUAGUUGUAUAGUUUUGUUACCCUGAUUGGAUUUAGGUGAAAGUAGCUUGAAGCAUCAUGUGUGUUGUGCAUUCUUGUUUUAGGUACUGGCUGAAGAAGGUAAAGCUAAAGCUGUUGCCUUUGACGAAAUUGAUAAGGCCCCAGAAGAGAAAAAGAGAGGAAUAACUAUUGCCACUGUGAGUGAGACUACUCAGCUUGUUAUUUCUUUUGGUUCUUUUGUUUCCUUCCAAGUAUAACCUUUAGAACAAUUGCUUCUUUGACUGUGCUUGAUUCUAUUUCGUAUUUAUGUUUCAGGCCCAUGUGGAGUAUGAAACUGCAAAGCGUCAUUAUGCACAUGUUGACUGUCCUGGACACGCAGAUUACGUUAAAGUAAGCCUAGACUUUUUCAUCUUGACUGCAAUACUGGAAUUGAAAUAGUCGUUAGCAUCGAUUCCAAGCAAAUUUUGAGUGGUUGAGCUAUACUUAUUGAGUGAAGUCAGCGGAGUUCUUCUGAAAAUGCAUGUAAACAGUUACAAUCAGAACUUUGCAUUUCUUUUGGUCGCGGUGUAUAUGCAUAUUUAUCCUUCCCUACUGUAGUGUAUAAGCUUGCUGUUUUCUGUUGAGAUGGACGAUUCAACUUUGUUUCUAAUGACUGAAAUUGGUGGAAUGACUGAUCUGGCUUUUUUUGAAUUCAUCUGUAUAGAACAUGAUUACGGGAGCUGCCCAAAUGGAUGGUGGGAUUUUGGUUGUAUCAGCUCCUGAUGGUCCUAUGCCGCAAACAAAGGAACACAUUUUGCUUGCUCGCCAGGUGCAUAUUCUGGCUUUUUAUUCCUUUGGUCGGAUGUAUCUUCUACAUUUUCUUAACCUAUAAACAUUCCUUUUUAAUGUGAUACCAGGUUGGUGUCCCAUCGCUGGUUUGCUUUCUGAAUAAAUGUGAUGCCGUUGAUGACCCUGAACUAUUAGAGCUUGUUGAGAUGGAACUCCGUGGUAUGAUGCUGUCAGAUUGAAAUUUUUGUUUUCAUUUGCGUCUUGCUCUUUUGUGUUAUUGCCUAUUGGUCACGAGAAAAAUUAUUAAUCGGCAAUUUUUUCAGAGCUUCUGAGUUUCUAUAAGUUUCCUGGAGAUGAUAUCCCUAUCAUUAGGGGUUCAGCACUUUCUGCUUUACAAGGGACUAAUGAAGAACUUGGUAAACAAGCCAUUUUAAAGUUGAUGGAUGCCGUGGAUGAGUAUAUCCCUGAUCCAGUGCGACAACUUGAAAAGCCAUUCCUCAUGCCUAUCGAAGAUGUUUUUUCCAUUCAGGUAUAUAUAGUAUGCGAUAGAUUUCUUUUUUCUGCUAGUGUUUCUGUACUAUUUCGUCUGUGAAGCAGUGUUUGUAUUGUGUGAUGUUUUCCUAUUAUGCGACCUUUCAUUUACAAGUCUUUUGUUAAAGGGUCGUGGAACUGUUGCAACUGGCCGUAUUGAACAAGGGACAAUCAAAGUGGGAGAAGAAGUUGAAAUCUUGGGACUUACAUCGGUAAUUUCAAAUUGCUGACCAUGAACUUAAGACUUCCAUUUGAUGGAUUGUAUUAUAAUGUCAAUUCAUUAAUGGAAAAUUUUAUUUACUCCCUUGUUUGACUCGUUUCCUUGUGCAGGGUGGUCCCCAGAAAACAACAGUUACUGGCGUUGAGAUGUUCAAGAAAAUUUUGGACAAUGGACAAGUAAGUCAAUUGUUUGAGUAUCCCCCCUGAAGUCUUGCAAUCUACACUGUUGUUAGCUUGAUUAAAAUCGUGUUUGUUUCAAUGACAAGGCUGGUGACAAUGUCGGUCUCCUUCUGCGUGGUUUGAAACGUGAAGAUAUAGAACGAGGACAGGUUGGUUCAAUUUGACAAGAAAUGAACCUAUUUUUGUGAUGUCCUAGAAUCUUACUGAUAGCAACCACGAUGACAAAUUUGUAAAGCUAAGAUAUCUUGCACUGUUGUGGUUCAGGUGAUUGCCAAGCCCGGAUCUUUGAAAACAUACAAGAAAUUCGAGGCUGAGAUAUACGUCCUGACGAAGGAUGAGGGUGGUCGCCAUACUGCCUUCUUCUCUAACUACAGGCCCCAGUUCUACAUGAGAACUGCAGAUAUUACCGGUAAGGUGGAAUUACCAGAAUCCGUGAAGAUGGUCAUGCCCGGCGACAAUGUGACUGCCAAUUUCGAGCUGAUCCAACCGGUUCCUAUGGAAGCAGGUCUGGUUCAAGUUUUCUUGCUUUGUCUCUGUUUCUCAUCUAUCAAUCCAUGUUAAUAAGAGCCUGAUAAAUGAUGUUCCUUUCUUAUUGGGUUGAACAGGACAAAGAUUUGCUUUGAGGGAGGGAGGUAGGACAGUUGGAGCAGGUGUUGUCUCGAAAGUAAUUAGCUAAAGUUCAUUUGGCCAUAUACAGUAUGGAGUUUGUACUCUUUUUUUAUGCUUCAUCAUCACAGAUAAAAAGCAGGUUAGAAGAACUUAGUGGUUGGGAGCAGGAAUUGCUAUGUUUGAAUGGAGACUGCAAGGUGUUCCUGUUUUAUUCAGCAUUGACAUCUGAACUGAGAGAUUUCGGGAUCUUAGUGGGAAGUAACUGUUUCUUCCUUUAGUCCCUCUUCCUUUUCCAUCAUUAAUUUUCUAAAAUAAUUAAAAAGGAGACGUUUUGUGUGACGAGGAACAGAUGCUCCACUUUGUAAUUGUGACGUUGCAAUCGUAUAAAUUUUGGGCUAUUUAUCUUCGACACUUAUUUCAGCAAACUGGAGGUGUUAAAAAAGGGCAAUAAGGAAUGUCCUCCCGAAAUUCAGACCUAGAAUUACCAUUUCUGCUACAUCGCGUUCGAAAUAAAUGAAAUUUUAGUUGCAUAAAAUCUACUUGGCAUAAGCUAUUAUUGUUAUUGCUCAAAGAAAAAUUUACAAGUUACAGACUGAAGGCUCUAAAGAGGAGUCCUCAGAGCAAUAUAUAAAUCUUCUUCUCACAAUCCAUCACCAUUUCAACGAACAAUUGGCAUAAGUAUGUCGAGCUCUGGGGCAGUAUAGCCCCAAUAUAUACAGUUUACGUGAUCCAUAACACAUUUGCAGUUCAUGCCACUCUCAAAACAGCCACUGCGAGCAAAGUUGCAGCUCUGAAGUAAACAUCUUUCAAGCUUCUGUUCACAGUGGUUACGACCUCCUCGUCCUUGAGGCCCUUGCCAGCAUUACUGCUGACGCGAAUUAUCGUGUCACGCAGUUUGUUUACGGCCCACGAGAGCCACACCAGUCCAAAACCCAACCCUGUGCUUAGCACUUUCGAUGUGCAUAAGGGUACCACCGGACCACAAGCUAACUUGCACAUAACUGAGAACAGUACUGCAAUGCCGGUGCCAGCGAUGCCAGCAGAGAACUGUGUCAGCAACUCGCGUAGCUCGGGGCCAGACUUUUUGAGUGACAGGAUCGCCGUUUUCCCACUAUGUCUCUUGUUCAUCAUUAGCGAAAGAAGGCUCUCGCAAGCGUGGGAGUAGUUUCUUGUGUAGAGAUCCCGCUCUUUAGUACUCCUUCUCUUGCUGCUUCUCCUUUUAAGGGAUGGCUUCCCCUUGGCCUUUUGAGUGCUGCUGAAAGUAAAGGAAUCGAGUACACAAUCGAAUUAGAACUCAAAAGCCGGUCAUUUAGAGCAUGUAAGAACUGGAAAAAAGAGACUUUGAAUCAAUCACAUUACCUAUCGACACUUUGGACCUUGGAUGAAGAAAGCUCGGUGUUGUACUCGUACCGGUUAUAUUGGGGGAUGAGUGCCGAUUGUUUUCUCCUCGAGGUUGAACUAUUGGCCAGGUAAAACUCAGCAACAAUGGGGAUGAUGUUCUUAAUCUCUGUGCCACUGCCGGUCAGCAGUACUCGACCAUCCGGUUGAAUGGUAAUUUUCGAACUGCGAGCCAUAUCCCCCAGAAAGUCUACUAAAGGGUUGACGGAAUCAAAAUUUUCCUUUGUGUUGAUAAUAUGUGGUCCCAGAUCGACUGACAGUUGCAAUGAUUGAAGGUCGAUCAGCUCAGAAACCUCGGACAAAUCCAAUCCCAAUGGUUCUAAUUCAUUCAGGCGAGAUUUGGGGAAUUGCAUUAUUCCAUCAUUUCUGGUGCAUUGUCCAGAAAUCCCAGAGCCGGAGAGAACUCUCUUUGUCCACUCAUCUACAUGGAAAAAAAAGUAUACAAUUAGCAUCAUCUUGUCAAAGUCUAUAACUUGGUAGGUUUGAACAGCUUUUUCAGUGAUUCGGUAUUAUCAAACAAGAAAACUAACUGGUACAACGGUAAUAACACAAAACCAUGCCGCUAGGAUGCUACAAACUAGUCAUAUCUUGUAGGUGAAGAUGACAGAGGGUUAGCCGUUCUCGGGUGCUAUCAUCAAACUACCCCUUGGAGUUUUCAUAUGAGAAAUUAUGUUAAUGAGCCACAAACCUGUUACGUUGAUAAGUACAGGCUCUCCAACAGUAGGGAAGUGGUUGUUGUCGAGUUCGAUUCCGUUCGGCUUCAGACGAAGGGAGACUGGUCUCGUUAUCUCUUGUCCAGCCACCAUGUUAGGUAGAUAAGGUUGACAAUCCUGUUCAAAUUAUCAAAGGCUGAUCAUCAGUUUUACAGUUCAAGAACAAAGGGAAAAACUCAAACCAUAUAUAUGCACAUCAUGUUAACAAACAGCUAUGAAUUGUUAGGAAUCAGACAUGAUCCCAAUCUGUUCAUAUUGCACACAAAAAAGAUGUUCAAGUGAGCCAGAAAAAACGAAAGACAGACCUAAUAUCCAUUGAUCGUUCAUCUGACUUUGGCAGUUCAAAAAGCAUCAACCUUUGCCAAACGUCAUGCUUUGCAGGCAGCUAUUAGACACUGAACAAAGUUCAGAAUUUGGAAACUACUCAUAAGACAAUAUCAAAUUCUGAAAGAAACCAACUUGUAAUUACCCACAUCAGCAAUCAAGCAUCCAAAACCCGAAGUGUGGUUCAAAAGUGCAUACCUUGAAAACCCUGUGGUGUUCUUGCUGAAACAAGAGCUCAGAACCAGGAAGGCAGCCAUGAGAAGUCAUCAAACAAAGCUUAACCAUAAUUAACGCCCAGAAGAAAUAGAGAGAGCAAGAAAUCGUCUUUUCUGUCUCUCCCUAAAUUCUUCUUCACAAACCCAUAGACUUAUCCAUGUAUAGCUCUCAGAGAAACCCAACCACAAUUAAGGAUUCAAUUACAGAAGAAACUCGUCGUAAUCGCCUCUUUGUCUCCGUGGCCCCUUACAGAGACGUUAAUCUUUGCGAAUGGAAAUAGGGAUUUUUGUGGCGGAGGAGACAGCUCCGUUGGGAAUACGGAUUGCGAUCCCUCCGUAAAACAGCUGACAGAACAAGAAGUUAAAUACAAAACCUGUCUCUGUAUAUCUACUGUUUUUUGUUUUGUUUCCUUGUUAUUGUCGGCCGUGCGAGGAAAUUAGGCUACUGAAUCAUUAUUCGUAUGCAAUUUGGUCCAAAACUAUAAAUUGAAAACUGUACAACUGUCCUGCAAUUGGCAACUUGUUUUUUGUUCAUUCAUAUUAGUAUUAUACUUCUCAACCACUUUUGUUUACCAGAGCUCGCAGUUGGGCAUGAAAUGUUUGACCUGCAUUUGUUUCAUGAUUUGUUAAUUACACUCUGAUAACAUGGUUUAACGUGUAAAUUAGAGAAUUCUCCACACUUUUCAUUCAUUCAACGAGGUUUAAUUAUAUGCCAUGUCAGGAAAAUCAAUUUAUGACAAAAUGAUAAUUAAUACUUAGUCAAAGAAGACACGAUUACUUGUGUUUAUUUCAAUCGAAUCUCAUCAUCAUUCGUCUCAAGUCUCGAGAAAUACUACAGAUGAUCACUCCGAAGAAGCCACACAUACAACCGGCGAGGUAAAGAAAUACGACCACCUAACUAUGAGCGGCCUCAUUUCGUUUCCUCCUAACCCAUCUGACAACAAAGUUUGGUCGAGCCAACGAUUUACACCAAUCAAUAGCAAAAUUCAAGUUCUCUCAUGUCGAGUUGUUAUCUGAACCCAAGCUGCCUUUCACCGGAUUCUGCUUCUUCGGAACGCAACUCUUGGUUGAGAGAAGUGUUGUUGCACCACCUGCACUAGUGUUCUGAACCCAGCAAUCGAAUCUUCCAUUGUAUAUACCUCGAAAGUCGUCGUACCUUGGAAUUGGAGUAGCCCAGCAAGAGACUCUAGGCUGAAACACCCUCCAAUUGGGUUCAUAGGACUGUAAUUUCACUGCAAAAAGGAACUCCGGCUCUCCUGUCGUCCCCAUCCUCAAAUCAAAGGAGAAGACACAAUCCUCCAUGUAUUUAAAGAAGACAAUUUCCGGCUUCUCCGGAUGCAGACAAAGCACAGAGCACUUGUCAAGUUCAUAUUUACCCCAUAAUGAUGAUGAUGAUGAUGAUGAAGUGGCCGUCUGCAACUCUAUUUCACAUUGUUUGCUCCACCUCCACCAAUACUCAUCAUCUUCUAGAUACAGUCUCCAAACACUCAAGGCAUUCCUUGAAGAAUCACGUACACCUUCAACAUCCAACAUCAAAAGCACUGUGCGAUCGGAACUGGCUUCAUAAUGCAUCCAACACAACUCGUUCUUGAGCCACACAACAUUGGUCCGUGGCGUUUUAUGGGAAUCCUUAAGAAGCACAUGCAGCCAUUUCCCGGUCUCGGAAGAAAACACCACCAGGGCCAGGUUCUUGCCACAUUGUAAAAGACGCACCACACAGAAACGAUACUCUGAGUAAGCUAAGCCGUCUGCAGAUGAUGAUUCUGCUUCGUCUCCUACAAGAUUGAAAUUAUAAUUACUAUGGGGUAAACAAUUUCAAUUCCACUGACGGGCGCGGGAAGAGGAGCCAAGAAGCUGAGAAAGCGCAAUAGUCCUGAAAUCCAAAAGCCAAUAGAUUAGAGACGAUGCUCUCCGGGCACUGUAAUCGAACAUGGUAAUGAUUUCUCUCUCGAUUUGGUUUAUGCCUAUUCCUCCUCCCACGGCACGACGAUAACUCCGUCCGCCAUGGAUUUUGAAUUAUGAUUUCCUCCCCCAUUGCUGAAGUUCGGGAUUUCUGUGUCGAUUGUGCAGCUGUUCUUCUCCUACUUCGGCAGAGAAGUAACGGUGGAUCUCAAGAACAAUUUGGCCAUCAGAGGCACACUUCACUCAGUAGAUCAGUAUCUCAACAUCAAGCUCGAGAAUACUCGCGUUGUUGACCAGGACAAGUACCCUCACAUGGUAAUCUCUCUUCUUUUGCUAAUCUUGUACAAAUUUGGUAGCUAAGUAUACAUUUUCCCUUGAUUUGCUUGUAAUCUAGGGUUUUUGCAGUUUAGAAAAUUGCCUAGGGUUUUAAUGUUUCCUAUAUAACUACAUACAAAUGAGAUUACAUCUGCAAGAGUGAGUGUCAGUCCUCUCUAUGACUGUUGAAUCUUAUGGUAGGGUUUGAAACUUGGAUGAUAAUAGGAUGUCUGUUGUUUACUGGUAUCUGAACUGAAACUUGACAUUGUUUUUCCACGGCUCUACUGCAUCAAUCUGACAACAUCAAACUACCUGAUAAGAUGAGUGAUCAUUUCAUUGAUUUAGAACUGGAUUAAAGUUACAUAACUUUUUGCAACUUAGAUAAGAAGUAAUAGAUAUGUAUAGACUAUAGAGACGAACACUAAACUACCUGAUAAGAAUCUGAAUUAACUCUUGAUGAGUGUUCGUUGCAUUGCUUUUGCAUUGCUUUUGAACUCGGUUAAAGUUGCAUAACAUUUGCAACUGAGGUAAGAAGGAGAACAGAGAGUGAGACUGAGAAGUUUCAUUUAAAAGUGUUGCUGGGGAAUUAAGGGAUAUUCAGAGGCUUGGUUAACCAAAUUUUUAAAUACACAUGCCCUUUUCAAUAUAGUAACUGGCAGUGGUGUGACUGUGUGAGUAAUGAUUUCACGUAAUGAACGAGACUCGUCUCGUUGAAUUGUCUUCAUAAUGCAUUCAUGCUAAAUUCUUCAUACACAACUGUGAAUACAACUAUUCAUGAUUUCUGGCACUUUGUUGACCAAGAUCACAUUGAACUUUCUUGUCUACCAUCUCCAGUCUGGGUUCAUGUUCACGCCUUCAAUCUGCAGUUGCUACGAAUCUUCACUGUUUAACUACCUGAGAAAAAUUAUCAAACUUCGCCUCGUAUUUUCCUUACCGUCAAUCUCUAUCGACUGCCUAGUUAAGCCACAAGUCGCCCUUUUUUGUUUGCAGCUAUCAGCGAGGAACUGUUUCAUCAGGGGUUCAGUGGUCAGAUAUGUCCAACUGCCACCAGAUGGUGUCGAUGUUGAUCUGCUUCACGAUGCUACGAGGAGAGAAGCUCGAGGUGGAUGAUUGCUCUUAGUGUGUCAACCACUUACAUGUACUAUGUCUUGACAAUUUUAUGCAUCUGUUCAAUCUUCAAACAUUAGCCAUGGUUGGUUUUUUUCACCCUGGUGUGUACACUUGUGGUUAGUGAAAAUUGUGCAAGUAGGAAACCUGUAUGAGGUUUGGUUCCGAGUUCCAAUCUACAUUUUUCUCCAAGGCAUGGACACAUACACUGGCAGCUUUUUUUCAUUCUUAAACGACUCACUACCUAGUCUCUUUUCAGUUAGCCCGACAACGAAGCUCAACCGGGAGUCCACAUCGAUCAUUUAAGCUCUAUUUAUUAGUUUGAUCGAAAUGAUCAAACAUUGCAUCAAGCCAUUGGAAAAAAUACCAUCCAAAUUCAAGACAUCUCGUGUUGGUGAACACAACUAGUCAAUAGCUUUACUAGUUCGGAUAAGAGGCUUUCGAGGCUUCGACUUGUUUGAUGCAACUACAGAACAAAGCCUUAUUUCUGUGUGGAAGUCUUCUCUGGUGAUUUUCUGAUAGCCUUUAUUUCAUCACUUGACAAAUUUGGUGAACCAAUCAAGCAUGUCCUGAUGAGACUUCUCAGCACUCUUGACUGCAGCUUCAUCUUCAUCUUUGUACCUAACAGUCCAUCCAUGAGCAACCCCUCCAAAUAUCUUCACAUAUCCUUCAACCUAUAACCCCACACCAGCCAAUCAAACAAGUCAAAGUCAAUGAUCCUAAGGAAAGUCAACUACUUCCUGUGGUAUUAGUUCUCCACUUCUUAAUAAUACCUCUGGCUUAGUAGACAGAACUUCCUCAAACUGCUUGAGAAGUUCAGGUGGUGAAAGCUUGUCUAUCUCAGCUCCCAGUACUGCAAUCGGCACCUUCACAUCUGCAAACACACACAAAGAAGCCGUCAAUCCUCUAAACAUGUAUAUUAUUGGGAAGGCCUGCUAAUCGGGCUACGAUCGACCAUACCCUUGAUAUCCUCGACAGUUACUCGAGAAGGAUGUAGCAAGACUGCAGCUUUAAUGAGAUCAGAGUCUUUAGAUAGCUCAACAACCACCUUAGCUGAACACCAUAUGAUAAAAAAGGCUCAUCAAACAAAUUCUAACGGUUUACGCUGUAUCCCAAUAACUCGAGGAAAGAAGCUCCUACCGCCCCAGCAGAAACCUGCAGCUCCAACUGCAGAGAUGCCGGUAAUGCUUCUCAGUGCAGCAAUCACUUGUUUAGCAUCUUCAUACCCUUUAUUCUAACAUAAUACAUAACAGACAUAUUACAAUUGUUACAUAAGCUAGACAAAUUCAUAGUUAAAGAAUCCUAACUGUUCCGUGGGAUUCCCUCCAGAGGGAGAUAGGCAUUUCAGGUCUGUCAGGAAUGUACGGAUCUCCAUGGAAGAAGUCUGGAACUACAACAUAGAAUCCUGCUGCUGCAACUUUGUCUGCAAUUUUCCUUAGAUUUGGUGUUUCAUACCCUGCAAAAGAAGGGAAAUUUUUUGAAUAACCCAAUUGGAGAAUCUGUUUCUAGAUGGUAAAAAGAAUCGAUUUCUAUUGGUGGGUAUACCCAAAACAUCAGAAGCAAGGAGAAGGGAGAGGUUGGAUUGAGAAGAAGAUCCAGUGGCAUAGGCCUUGAGUCCUCCUAUUUCUCUCUCCGCCCCUUUUAGUGCUGACGUCAUCUCUAAAGUCUGAUUCUGAACUGAUCAAUGAUGAAGAAGAAGCUAAGCCAGAAUGAUUAAAGAUAGAUUGUUGUAAUCAUCAAUCAUUAUUUGUGAGCUCUAGUUGGGUGGUGACAACUGACUUGCUGGAUUUUGCUUUUGUCCUGGAAUCAUCAUCACUUUCAGGGCAUCUAAUCUUCAGUGCUGACGCAAGGCAUGAGCUAUGAUUAAACCAGUCAGAGAGGGGAAUUGUGUUGAAAUCUGAGAAAGAGUUUGAUAGGCUAUCCAGCCCAUUAAGAUUGUUCAGGCUUCCGUUGUUAGGCCUAGAGCAGAAGCCUAGCUAGCAAGUAAGAGCACUGUUUGCCUAUCUCUCACCGACAUAUAAAUCUCACUAAAAAAAUCGUAUAGUUCCAUACUCUUCAGUCCCAAUAUAUAAAUUUCCAUAAGAGUUUUCCGUUACUUUGUCAACAUCUCUUUGCAUUUUCCUCUUCGAAUUUGCAUAAAAAAACAGAGCCCUGUGACAUCAAUGUUCAUCACGUUCAUAGUUCAAACGUUUACAGUACCACUAUGCUAGUGAGCUGAUCAGAGAAUUGAUUUCUUAAAGCACGUGCAAAUUGUGAUAUUAAUUGGCUCACAUUUUUUUUCUAUAAUGCAUGCAUUUUCUUGUUACUUCAGUACACUGUAUUAUGUUUAACAACUUAUAUACAUGUGGAGUCAAUUAAUCAUCUGUUCGCAAGAGGCAGCCACACACAUUAAUGUCCACGUAGAAGACAAUUAAUCUGGUAUUAUAAAAAUGAUUUAAGAAGGAAGAUGAUAUUAAUGGAGUGUGGUACUCAACUGCCGACACAAUCUAGAAUAUUCUAGAUGAUGUUAACAUUUGUCUAUGUACGUGUCUAUAUUACAAGGUACGUACGCCUGCUUUUGGCCUAAACAUGUAUGCGAUUGAGACCGAUCGAGGCCAGGCUGCCAGCAUGAAACUCUACGUGCAUGAGAUCGAUUAGUGGUGGAUACUGGCGGGUCUAUUACAAUCCAAUAAAAAAUUAUAUUUAAAAGUUGAUUAAUAUAUUAACACUUCAGUGUUUUCCAAAUUAUAUACAAUUUGAUUUAUAGUACAUAUUAGAUAAGAUUACGAUAUCAAGUGUGUUGAGUUGUACACUAAUAAAUGUCGUAACGACCUACAUGUGUUUAGUGUUUAAAUUUAGAAAAUUGACAUGAAUUGUUAUAUUUUAAUAAUUCGAACUAUUGAUAAAGAGGUUAGAUUGACUUUUUAUAUUAUUCCUCAACACACCUCUUCAAUCGAAAAUUUCUCAGAAGAGUUGAAGUUUGCAAUAGAUCAUAUAUAUUUUUAUGAGUUAUACCAAAUUUGACGCGAAGACCUUCCAAAUUUUAAAGGCUUUCAAUACCAUAUUAUAACCGUUUAUUGAGAGGAGAUUAACCGAUUAGGUUAGGUUUUAUAUUAUUGAAACAUCAGCAACUGAGGUUUGGCACGUAAACUUCAUUGCAUAUUCAUUCGUGGCGAUCGAGAACAGUACGGAUAAGGGAGACUGAAAAUCAAAGAUGCCUUGAUUUCAGUGUAAUUAAUUAAUGUUGUACGUAGAGAAUUGAAAACGACUAAACAUGAAGACGACGGGUCGUUUUGACUGCGUGGAAACAUAAGCAAAAUUCCAAGAAAGGUUGUCGGGCGGGCCGGGCCGGGCGGGCGAUCGAUUCAAGAAUUUCUAGAAGAGAAAGAAAAAUAAAUAGCUCAUCAUCAUUGACUAAGACUUUGACUGAUAAUUAACCAGUCUUAAUUAUUACCUUUUCGCCAAUCAAAUGACUAUCUCUCAGUGUCGGCACAAAGUAUUAAACUCUAAUAUACAUUUAUGAUUGUUUUGAAUUCGGUUUAGAGUAAUUUUUUGUUCAGUUUAAAAUUUGUUUGUAUCGAAAUUUAAAAAUAGCUAGAGAAUCGAGAAUCUUUACCGUUGUUCAUGGAUAAAACAAUAGAUUCGUCAAUUGAUUAUUGCUUUCCGAUGCAUGUUUUGAUCCAUAGCAAUUUUUAUGUUUUUUUUAUAUUUAUAAUUGUUAUGUGUUUUCCCCUACUAACAAAUAUAACAAUUAUAUAUAACCAUAACCCUAAACUGUAAUUUAAAUUUAAUAAUAUUAAUUUAUCGUUUAGACUGGUAAUUUGACUAUUUAGUUAAAACCAAUUCAUGUAACUGAAAAGGCAAAUUAGAAAAUUGGCGGGAUGAAUACUUUUUUUUUUAUAAUUUUUUUNNNNNNNNNNNNNNNNNNNNCAUCCCUAAUAAUUUUUAAGUAAAACCACCUCACGAGACCCUUUACAUCAUCCUUUUUAUUUGACAAUUGUUAAAAAUCUGGAAUGAGAUAAGUGUUUAAGAAAUAAUAGAGUUUUGUACUUAUAAUUUAAAAUUUUCACGGCCACGAUUCUAACGAAAUUUUUUUGAAAAUUGAAUAUGACUAGAGAACGAACUUUACUACCAAGUUAUUUAUGACAUUAGCAUCUAAAACCACCAAAUGAAAAUGAAGAUUAACUAUCUAAAGUCCAAAUAAAAUUCUUCCAUUUAUCGAUAAAAUUAUAUAUGGGUGAUUCGAAAAUUUCGUAUUUGAAUUGAACACAAACUACAAACAGACACUGUCGUACUAUUUAACCUUCAGCUAGGACCCGAACCGCGCGGUUGAGAAGCCUACAAAUAAUUUGGGUACCCGAAUAAAAAGGCCAGAGCAGCUUAAUUAAUUUACUAAUCACUCCUCCCUCCGACUUUAAACCUCCCUCCCUGAAACGUCAUUCGCCGGCGACACCGGUCAUUUUUCCGUCAUCUUCGUCUCCUUUCCUUUGGGUACUUUCACUCUUCUCAGCUCUCUGAUUCUUCCUGCAGCUCCGAAAAAGGAAGAACAGAAAAAAAGAGAAAGAAAUACGGUCUUGAAAGGCGGCGGCAACGGCGGCGGAGGAGAGAAUAGGUUAAUCGUUAUGAUGGCGGCGGUGUCCGUACAGCCUCUUCCGCAGAGUCUGUGGGACUCGGUCCUCCAACUCACCAAAUCAGCACAGGAGAAGAACGCCGACCCGCUCCACUGGGCGAUUCAGCUCAGCUCCAGUCUUGCUUCUGCCGGCGUCGCUUUACCUUCCGCCGACAUCGCCGACCUCUUAGUCUCUCACAUCUGCUUCGAGAAUCAUGUACCUAUCGCCUGGAAGUUGCUCGAGAAAGCCCUCUCUGUCAAGAUCGUCCCUCCCAUGCUCGUCCUCGCCCUUCUUUCCACCAGGUCCCUUUCCAUGUUUCUUCAGGUUUCAAUUUCAAUCGUUUGUUCAAUUGUUCCUAACUUUUUGUUAUUUUCAAAUUUAGGGUGAUUCCGAAUCGACGUUUGCAUCCUGCAGCUUACAGGCUUUACAUGGAGCUUGUCAGACGACAUGCUUUUGCAUUUUCGUCUGAAAUCAGUGGCCCGAAUUCCGCUAAGUAGGUAUUCCAGGACGUAAUAACGUGACAUUUUCCUUUAAUUAGCUUAUCAAACGUGUCAUUUUCCUUUAAUUAGCUUAUCUUAGUCUGCUUGUAGUUGAUGCUUGUUAUGGAAAAAAAUUGCAGGAUGAUGAAAUCCAUAGACGAUGUGCUUCACCUCUCUGAUGUGUUUGGACUUGAAGCGACUGAACCAGGGAUUUUUCUAGUUCAAUUCCUGUUUUCAGUUGUUUGGAAGUUGGUUGAUGCUUCAUUGGACGAUGAAGGGCUGCUGGAACUUACAUUAGAGAAGAAAUCACGGUGGCUCCAAGCAGCAGAAGAUAUGGAGAUAGAUGGCUUUGCUGACAAAAGAAGUGAGCAUAAUGAAGGGGUGGUGAAAGGAAAUACUACAAUGGCUAUUGAGCUUAUUGGGGAGUUCUUGCGGAAUAGAUUUACUUCAAGGAUUCUUUACCUGGCUUUUGCAAACAUGUAAGCUGAUCAGGGGAUUUGUCUUGAGUUAUUUGAGAAUUCUACAUUGUUAUUAUUAGAAUGAGUCAAUUCAGAGCUCUGACAUCUUCUUCAGGCCUUCGCAUUGGGGAAGCUUCUCUCAGGGGAUGCAAACACUUCUUGCUAAUUCGGUAGCUUUGAGAAGUUCGAAACUUCUCACGCCAGAGGACCUUGAGCAGCUGUUAUCCAAAACAACUGUACCUUUCCAUCGUUUUUUCAAGACAAAGUUACAGUUAGAGUGCCAUGCUAGUAUAUCUGCUACCUCUAUUAAAUCCUCUGCCGGUCAAUGGCAUGGGACGAGCCAGUCCGAACUCUGGCUUCCUAUUGAUCUCUUUCUCGAAGAAUGCAUGGAUGGCUCGCAAUUGGCUGUUGUUAGUGCUAUAGAGAACCUUGUAGGUAUGAGUUUGUUCAUGAGUUUCUUCAAUACCUAAGAUUUAGUGUAAUUAUCUGUUUUAAAUCAAUUACUGGUACCAAACAAUUCUUUCAGGGCUGGUUAAAUCUUUGCGGGCUAUCAAUGGCUGUAAAUGGCAGGAUACCUUUCUGGGACUAUGGACUGCAGCUUUACGUCUUGUUCAAAGGGUACGUACUCAUGCUAAGUGAUAGACGAACUAGUUGAUUUCCCUCUAGUACUUUUGUUUUUGAUGAUUCAGACACACUGCAUUCAUUUGUGGAAAAAGUGUAGUUAUCAAUUUUUCCUUAUUUGCUACAUUAGUAAUUAAGGCUGGUAGCUGAUAUAGGAAGUCUAUUCCUAGGAGAUAUUCUACUUUAGGAAGGACCCUUCUAAACUCUGUAUAUAUUAGUCUGCAGACUAAUACCGUGAAUAAUGCAUCGAGAUUAUUCUCGAAACCCUACACCUCUAAUUUUGACAUAAAGUCAUUCGGGCAACUCAUACUGGAACCUAGUGUAGCAAUAUCUCCGUUAUAUAAAACAGAGAGUAGCAGUAGUCGCUGAAAAAAAACUAAAAAAAGAGAACGGAAAUAGGACUACAUACCUGCAUUGACCUAGAUGAUGUCAUUGCAGAAGAAGGCUUUGUCGCUUGAACUAUCAUGCGAUUAGAUGAAUGAAAACCCUAAUGGUUAAACCUACCUGACGCAUUGAGGAAAUUGUGGGAGUUCAUGUCAACAGACAUUUGUUAAACUUUUUCAAAACCAGAACACUUAAAACCUUAUAAAAUCAAUCUCCUUCUGCACCCCCUUUUCCUUUGGUAGCUUUUCAUUUCUCAAGCAAUUCCAUGAGUUCCCAACAAUGCCAUUUUUUCCAAGCAUUUCCGCAGCAAAGCAGGUUCAGAUAUUCAAACAAAAAGUGGGGUUAGAGGGGAUGAUCCGUAUACCUUUAUGGUGUAUUUUUUGGACUGUUCUGUACUUCGUUGAGACAGGUAGUCAUUAGUUAUAAAUCAGUAUCAAAGGCAUCUCCUUUUAGGGUGUGUUGUUGCUGUUAAAAAGGAUUUACACCGCAUUUUCCUUGAGGUUUUGGUUGAUCUGUUGUGAUUUAUGCUCUUCAAUGUUUUCUGAGUGUAUCUUUUUUUGGGUUAUUUACAGGAGAGAGAUCCCCGUGAGGGUCCGGAUCCUCGUCUUGAUACCUGCUUGUGCUUGCUAUUGUCUGUUACAACAAUUACUGUCGCUGAAAUUAUUGAGGAGGAAGAGAGUGAACUGGUUGAUGUCACUGCAUGCUACCCCGGCAUUCAAAAGGAAGAGAAUCAGGGUCCAGUCACAUGCCGUGAAGGUCUAGUUUCCGCUUUACAAAUAUUGGGCGAUUACGAAGGACUGCUGACUCCACCCCAAUCUGUCACUCCCUUAGCAAAUCAAGCUGCUGCGAAGGCAACUGUCUUCGUCUCUGGCCUUGCUACUAAUAAUGGGUAUUAUGAAAAUGUGAGCUUGAAUGACAUGCCGAUUGAUUGUUGUAAGUAAUUAUGUCAUUGAUUUGCUUGUAAAGUGUGUUCGUCCUUUUGCAAUGAGACAGUUUUUCUUAUUUACAGUUUAACAUACCUUUUGCUUUUCUAAUCGAUGUUGGUUCUUGUUUGUUGUGUGGACUGUUGAUAUAGCUGGUAACCUGAGGCAUCUAAUUGUUGAAGCUUGCAUUGCAAGAAAUGUGUUAGACACAUCUGCGUACUUAUGGCCAGGCUAUGUUGGUGCAUGCACCAGUCAGGUCCCCAGUCAGAUGCCUGGUUGGUCAUCGCUGAUGAAAGGUUCAGCACUAACGCCUGCAAUGAUGAGCACUUUGGUUGCAACUCCAGCUUCCUGGUAUGCUCAGAAGUUCUUUUCAAAAUGCUGUUAUUGCUGCUUCAAAGAAAUAUUGACUGCAAAAAAAAUAUCAUGUUAUGUUUUUCAUUCCCCUUGUUUAGUAGAUGUUUUCACGUUCUUAAGUGAACAUGGUCCUGUACAGUAUGUUGCAAAUUAAAGCAAAGUUCUUUUUAAGCCAGGUGUUAGGAUUAGAAACAAUCCAGAACUAGAUUCCUUUUCAUGCAUAAUGAACGGUGAGUGUGUAAAUUUGCUCUAGCAUCCAAACUAUGACCUAGUCUUCAGUCACGCCAUUGUUUUUCUGAGCCCAGGUAAAUAAGAUGAUAUUUUUGUAAAUUUACAAGUGGUAUGGCAACUGAAUUUAAGCUCCUGGAUUUAAUGGAAGCUUAUCAGAAAUCGAGAAAAUCUAUGAGAUUGCGGUCAAUGGUUCCAAUGACGAGAAGAUAUCAGCUGCAAUCAUUCUUUGUGGGGCAUCUCUACUUCGUGGUUGGAACGUUCAGGUAUUGCAGAAAAAACCCAUAUAGAUUCACUAAAGAGCUGAUGCUUCUCUAUGUUCCAGGAGCUCUUAUUCAGCCUUCACAGUUAAGCACACUAUUAUUUGCUCUUGCAGGACCACACAAUACUUUUUAUCAUAAAAUUGCUGUCACCGCCAGUUCCAGCAGAUUCUACACGGAGUCAAAGCCAUCUAAUUGAUUACGCUCCAUUGCUUUAUGUUCUUCUCCUCGGAAUGUCACCGGUGGACUGUGUCCAGAUAUUAUCCUUGCAUGGCUUGGUGGGUUGGCUCUCAUUUAAUAUAUUUAUCGUCAUUCAAUCAUUUCAAUAAGUAGAAUAGGCAAACCAUGAAAAGUGGAUGGGUCAUCAUUCGGAUACUAUUAUGAUCAACUACAUAUUUUUGCAGGCUCCAUUGCUAGCAGGUGCACUGAUGCCAAUCUGUGAGGUCUUUGGAUCAAUUGCUCCAGACACCACAUGGACUCUCCCAACAGGGGAAGAAGUCUCUUGCCAUGCUCUAUUCUCAUGUGCAUUUUCGUUGCUGGUGAGAUUGUGGAGAUUCCAUUUUCCGCCUUCAGAUCAAGUAAUGGGAGAUGUUACAUCAGUGGGCUCACAAUUAAGCCCUGACUACUUAUUGAUGGUACGAAAUUCUCGGCUAGCAGCCUUUGGAACUUCACCUAGGGAUCAGAUUAGACUAAAGAGGUUCUCACAAAAGGUAAUUAUGUCGAGAGAUCCUAUAUUCAUGGACUCUUCCCCGAAACUAAAGAUCUGGUACCGGCAUCAUUUGGAAUGCAUGUCUUGUGCCUUCUCUGGCCUUGUACCCGGGACUCCUGUUCAUCAGAUUGUCGAGGCACUGCUCACAAUCAUGUUCAGAAAGAUUAACCGGAAUUCCCAGCCGGUGACUGCUACAUCUUCAGGAAGUAGUAACUCAUCUGGCCCUGCAGCUGAGGAGGCAUUAGCUAAACUUAAAGUUCCAGCUUGGGAUAUCUUAGAAGCUACUCCAUUUGCCCUUGAUGCAGCUCUUACUGCUUGUGGCCAUGGAAGGCUUUCUCCCCGUGACCUUGCUACAGGUAAUUUUCUGAUUCUUCUGAUCCCAUACUGAGAAAUGUAUAGACUACAGUGUGAAAACUUCGGUUAUCGUUUCUAGUUUAUGUCCGAGGGUGACUUGUCUUAUAACUCCUCGCAGGCCUUAAAGAUCUUGCUGAUUUUCUACCGGCAACUUUGGCCACCAUAGCGAGCUACUUUGCCGCGGAAGUUACACGGGGUAUUUGGAAGCCUGCUUGUAUGAAUGGAAGUGAUUGGCCAAGCCCUGCUGCCAAUCUGGCCUUUGUGGAACAGCAAAUAAAGAAGAUAUUAGCAGCUACCGGAGUUAAUGUGCCAAGCCUUACUGUAGGUAAUUCUUUUGUUCAGCAGCUUAUCACUGCUACUUAUCUCUUAUGGUCAGAUAUUGUGCGAAGCAAAGUGAAUUGUGACAUUCGUUUGUUGAUGACGGGUGUAGACUCGUGCUAUUCCAUUUCUUCUAGUCUGAAAUUAAGAUGACUAAAACUUUCUGGAAGCUCAUGGAGAUUAUGUUUUUGUGCAAUGUGUUGAGUUAUCGUUUUCUUUUGCAGCGGGGAGCUCUCCGGCCACACUUCCUUUACCGUUAGCCGCACUUGUAAGCCUCACAAUCACUUACAAACUAGACCAAGCAUCCGACCGCUUCCUAACUAUUGUCGGUCCUGCCUUGACUGCCCUCGGCGCCGGUUGCCCAUGGCCGUGCAUGCCCAUCAUAGCCUCUCUAUGGGUCCAGAAAGCUAAACGCUGGAGCGACUUCCUCGUUUUCCACGCCUCCCAAACCGUCUUCCACCACAACAGUGACGCUGUAGUUCAACUCUUAAAGAGCUGCUUCGCAUGCACACUAGGGCUCACUCCUCUCUACAUUUCGAGCAGCAGUGGCGUAGGUUGCCUUCUCGGCCACGGUUUCGGGUCCCACUAUUCAGGCGGGAUAAAACCGGUUGCCCCGGGGAUUCUCUACCUGAAAGUUCAUCGAGCAAUCCGGGACGUCAUGUUCAUGACCGAAGAAAUCGUCUCUCUCCUCAUGCACUCGGUUCGAGAAAUCGCCGGCAGUGGCUUACCUAGAGACGCCACAGAGAAAUUAAGAAAGACCAAGCACGGGAUGAGAUACGGGCAGCUUUCGAUAGCCAAAGCAAUGAGACGGGUGAAACUUGCAGCCACGCUCGGGGCUUCAUUAGUGUGGAUUUCGGGCGGUCUGAAUCUGGUUCAGUCCCUGAUCAAAGAAACCUUACCGUCAUGGUUCAUAUCGGAACACAGCUCCGACCAGCUAUCUAGUGACGAAUCCGUCGGCGACUUGGUCGCUACGUUGGGAGGGUAUGCUCUGGCGUAUUUUGCAGUGCUGUGCGGGACAUUUGCAUGGGGAGUCGACUCGGCGUCUCUGGCAUCUAGACGGCGUUCGAAAGUUUUGACGGCCCACUUGGAGUUUUUGGCGAGUGCCUUGGACGGCAAGGUAUCGCUGGGUUGCGACUGGAAGACAGCACAGGCUUACGUAACCGGAUUUGUGGGGCUGAUGGUGGCUUGCACGCCGAAGUGGGUGGAGGAGGUGAACGUGGAUCUGCUGAAGAGGCUGAGUAAGGGAUUGAGGCGAGGGAACGAUACGGAACUCGCUCUUUCAUUGUUGGGGUGUGGCGGAAUCGGGUCUAUGGGUGCAGCUGCUGAGCUAGUGGUGGAAUGUGGAUUGUUUAACUAGUUGAGGCAGAUAAUUCAGCUAAUCUGCGUCCUUUUGUAGGGAUAAUUUUAGGUAAUUUGGUAGUAACUGUAGGUGCUGUAAAUUAUAGGUGUCGAAAAAUGAUUGGUUCUGAAGAUAGCAUGUCUAAUUCUCCACCCUCAACAGUUCAACAGUAAACGGAUUUUUGCGCUAUUUUAUAGUGUAUAAAUUCGACAAUUAGCUCGUUUAGCAAUCAAUUCGUCAAUAAUCGGACCCCGAUUUUCAACACCACAUAUUGAAUCUAAAAGAUUCUGUGAAUUUAAGUGAUGCGUUCUUUUCGACUGUUUUGUUCGUACACUUCUUUUUCGAAACAUCGAAACGUUACUAACUUGCCAUUCCUUCUCAUAUCCACUUUGCAUAUUGAUAUACCAUAGAGUAUAGACAUUAAUAAAAAUACCAAUUUGGACUUCUCUUCUGAAAGAUACUAUUAGUAUAAUUUAAUAAGACCGCGACUAAUUCUGAAAGGAAUGAAUGCAAAAAAACAUAACGUAUAACUUUAGAUCGGAUAUCCUUAGAAAGUUGGCAUCCAAAAAACGAUUUGUGGUUUCGGUUAACCACUCGAGCCCCGAUACAUUGCCAGUGAGCUAUUAUUAAGCUGUCUCAAAGGAUGGCUGCUUGCUUCCAACAUUGUAGUUGAAAAAGGGAUGAGACUGUCAAUUUAUUUCUGAAGGGGUGACUUCUUUGUUAUUAUAAUAGACAAGUGAUUCAGUUCAACUAUUCAAUUUCCCUUCCACCGAAUCCUCUUUUUGAACAUAGCCGAGGAAGCUCCCCGCCGGCGAAAUUGGCAGGUGGCUGAAACUAAGUCAAUCUCAGGCGUAGUGUUUUCCUCACAAAUGAUACACCGCCAUUACCACCACAGAUGUAUCCCGGCGGCGAAGCUGCAACCGCUCCCAGCAACCACCUCCACUACUCCUCUGUUCUUCAGCUUCCCUCUCUUCCACUUGAAACCCUUCAACCCGCCGGGUAAACCCACCAAUCAUUUCCCGAUUUCCAAUUCUAAAGUUCUGAUCUUGGUUUCCACCUUCUUGGGUUUCUGAUACAUUUUGUUGUUGCUAAUUAUGAGUAAUAAGCAGUGUUGAUAAAGUGCGUUGCUGCUAAAAAGGAAGAAGAUAUCAUCUUAGAAGGCAUGCCUAAGGAGUAUUACGAUGAUGUAAGCUAUUGCUAAGCUGAAAUUGGUUAAAAAACACAUUACCACUUUUUGAAGCUUUUUUUUUGUUCAUAGAAGAAUGUUGUUUGUUAGGAAUGGCAAAAGCAACAGCGAGAAAAGGCUAAAGAGUUGGAAAGGCAGCGGCAGCUGGAAGAUGAAGAAGAGGAGAGGAAGAUGGAUGAGUACCGUGAAAUUGGGAACAGGCUUAAAGGGUAUCCUGAAGAAGAUGUUGUCAAAGCUAAGAAACUCAUCUCAAGCUUCAUCAGAGCUGCUGAAGAAGUGGAACAGGUGAGUAAACUGGAAGAAUUCUAUCCAUAUGCAGUUUUCUUUGACAGUUCUUCAGAGAGCAUCCGUUUGAGGGGGUGUGUUAAUGAAUAACGUAAAAAGCCAAUAUGAUCACUCUCCCAACAACUCGAAUUAUUGGGAUGUGAUGGUUCAUGACAAGGAACGAGCUUUAUGGAAAAAAGUUUAUUGCUUAAGUGGGUAGUUAAUCUUUGCCUUCAAGAUCUUGGAGACGUUGUGUUUAUCAUGUCUGAGAUUCAACUCCUUUAUUUCUUUGUGUUGUGCAACUCCCCCAUUUUUGUGUAGAAAAUUGAAGAAGCUGCUGAGAAAGGGGAGCUUAAUGAACUUGUCCUGAUGGUCAUUUGGAAUCGCCUCGAUCUUGCUCGUCGCGAUGUUAGUGGUCUAGAACGCUUUCUCGAUUCAAUAGUGAACGCUUUUUUGUUCAACCACUGAACAGGAUUUUACUAAUGAUCCAUCAGGAAGAGAAAGAUGUCAUCAGAAGUCUUGAUCUUUUGUACAGGAGAGUUGAGGUAUCAUCCAUUUAUUCUCAUCAAAGGAAAUUCUAGUCUUUUGUAUCUAACAAUCUGGACUGAACUUUGGUUCGAUUCUUAGACUGAGAUUUUGAAGCGGGAGGCUACUCCUGCAAUGCGACUUCUCAACGAUAUGCUGAAUAUGCACGACGGUUUCAACGACGAAGGAUGGCUGAAGAACUGCAAGAAGCUCAUGAUCGAUAUGUUUCCACGUGAAGAUCCAUUCACCAUUCUUGUCCCGGCAGGUUUUGAUAUCAAUGAGGUAUCUUUUCGUGUCAAAUUGUAGGAUUUUCCAGUUACAGCUAAAGUUCGAAAGAAGAUGUUUAAUUUUCUAGUUUCGGAUUUUGUGAUACAGCAUGAAGGGCCAAUACCAAUGCCUGCAGACGACGAUGAUGUUCUUUUACGGGUCGAUUUCGUGAGAGAGGUUGACGAGUUGCUGCAACAAGUGAAGGCUGAGCAAAAUGAAGGAUAUAAACCAGGAGAAAAGCUUGAUCCUGAAGCCAUAGCCAACAAACUGAAGCAGCAAGAGAAGCAACGUACAAUCCACAAGGUUGAAGCUCUGCUAGAGCUUGCUGUUAACCUCAAAUGGUAGAAACCCUUAUGGUUCCAGCUAAAACCGGUUGUGAUUUCGCCGCCUCUGAUCAGUUUCUGUUGUUGUAAUUUAGGACCAAAAGAUGAUGAUUCUAUGAUCUGUAGAGUUAGAAUCAAAUUUUGAUGCAUACAAGAAAAGCCAUAUAACUUUUUUCUGGGAAAUACUGAUGAAAUUUGCAGGCUUUCAUCUGUCAAAUUGAACUUCUCCAUUAGACAAGAUUCUGCCGGAAUAAUAUAAAAACCAAUCUUUGAACAUCUUCCAACAACUCGAGUUAUUAGAAUGCAACGAUUCUUUAUAAACAAGCAGUAUAAUAGUAAUUGCAGGCUUUCCAUCUGCCAAAUAUCCAGUUAUAACAGUAAUUGAAACUUAAACUGAUUUCUUUCAUUGAAGCUUUAAGGGGUUCAUAUACACAGCAACUGAAGAUUAAUUGCAAUCUGCCCUAGCAGUAUUUUCUUUUUCAAAACCUCACUUAUUUGCCUUAUUCCACAAGCAACCUUGAAGCCCCAUAAUUACAAAGGAAGCAAAUCAGAAGAAAUACUACUCCUUCUAGCUUCGAACAAAACACAGCUGUGAGAUCUCAUUUCAUACACAACUGAUCCUUCCAUAUCCUCAUCAGCAAUCUCUCCGGUCUCUGAGAAGAACCUUGGAUAGGGGAAAGCUGUAUCGACGAGUCGAUGCCAUUUCAUCCCUUCGGGAGCAAUAGGUAGAAUAACAUCUUCCGAUUUUCGACCUGCAUUAAACGCCAUGAAUAAAUCUCCCUUAGCAUCACCAGGCUUAUUCGUCUUCAACCCCAUCGCCAAGAAUUUGCUCGAUGGAUCGUCCCAUUUCGGUGGAGACUGGUCGUUUCCGUACCAUUCAAUAUUCUUUUCAUCCAAGAAGCUCCCUUUCUCAAGGAGGUCACUUCUUCUCGCUCUCAAUUCGCUCAAGAACGAGACGAACUCGACGGUUUGGACGCCAAACCCGGUCGAGAGUGCGUUCCAGUCGAGCGGUUUCCGAUCACUGUAACAAACCGAUCCCCCGGAAGAUUGGCCACAUUCGUCGCCCAUGUUCAGAACCGGUACGCCCAGUGAAACAAAGAGAAUGAAGAGAUAAUUCCGAAUCUGUUUAAGCCGUCUUUCGAGAACCAGAGUUUUCCCAGUAGGACCUUCUUCCCCACAGUUCCAACUGACCUCAUGAGCUAGCUUAUUAUCACUGCUAAAGCUGACCAAAUCCACUAGAGAAAGUCCGGAAUUCCGGGCAACGAAAUUGAAACCGUGAGAAGGCCCUCGUCCACUCGAAAAAACGUCUCCGCUCCCGCAAAGCCGAGUUGCAAGACAACUGAGAGGACCUUCACCCUUCAAAAAGUUUCGAACAUCGUAACAGAAUUUCGUGUUCAUUUCGGCCCAUCUCUUCCAAUGCGGAAAGCGAGUUUCUUUCUGCGCCAGCAUCUCUCCAGGAUCCCAGAAAUCUGCAAAGAUCUUGGUGUUGGACAGAACCGGUUCGAAUGCAAUUGAUUCGAUCAAAAGGGGUCGAGAUAAUGACUCCCCGUGGAAACCUCGAAGCAGCGACGAAGCAUUCAUGAAGCAAAAACCAUCAAUAUGAAACUCAGUCACCCAAUGCCUAAGACUAUCCAAUAUCAUCCUCGUUACGACAGGGUAGUUGUAAUUCAAUGAACUAUUAUCUAAAUAAUAAUAGGACGAGUCGUCAAUACCCUGCAAUGCUCGAGAUUCAGCGGUAUGGCUGAAAACAACCUCCAUGAAAACCUCUAUCCCACUGGCGUGCAAUGUCUUCACCAUCUCUUUCAUUGAGCUAAUGGCGGAUAUGGAGUCACUGGAAGACCGGGACCCGUACUGGUUCGAUGGCGAAAAGAAAUGGUAAGGGAAAUAUGGCCCUUUGUGCUCAUCAAAGGGAAAAACUGGCUCUAUCAAAACUGCAUUUACACCAAGAUCCUUAAAAUGCUUCACUUUCUCAGCCACACCAGCAAAACUCCCAGCAGCAUCAACACUAGAAAGCACACUAGAACCAUGCUGCGUAAAUCGCUUCACGUUGAGCCUGUAAACCACCAGCUUCUCUAAUGGCAAGUUAGGGCGAACAUCGCCAUUCCAGUCGAAAUCCGGCUCCUUGCAUAAUCUCCCCAGAUUACUGCCAGUAACUUUAGCAUAGGGAUCCAAAAGAACUUGAUCAGUCCCUCCUUUAUUACAUUUGAAACCGUAACUUCGAAAGCUUGACACAUCUUUGAACGAUGCAUGCCAGAUAUUACCAGUUCGGUUAACAUACGAAUCAAGAUCAAUCUCCAGAGCCGGUUUUUUCUCAGCAACACUGUACAGGCACAAAACCACCUUUUCGGCAUUCCUGGAAAAGAAUGCGAAGUUCACAGAACCAUCAGCUGAAAAGGAAAGACCUAAUGGAGCUGGAUGACCCCGACCGAAUCCAAUCGGGACACAGAAUUUCGUCUUCCUGUGACUCCUAAUUUCCAUCUCACUGGAUUUCAGAACAAACGAGAGAUAGAAAGGGGAUUGUCCCGUUUCGAAUUCCAGCUCACCUGAGAAUCCACCACCAAUUGUACUUUGCAUCAACAAAAAGGCUUCCAUCGUCGUUUCAUCUGAGCAAUCAGAUCUGUAGAUUCCCCAAACCAACGUAACAGUACAGUCACUGAUUCCCAAUUCCAACGAUGAAACUUCAACAUACACCACAUACUUAUCCUUCUUCUUGUUCUUCGAAAGGGAAACCUUCAGUGAACCACCGCCAACUUCCGUUCUAAACAGGUAAGUCGAAGAAGCUGCUUCUUUCUUCAGCUCCUCCGCUUCAAUGGACGGAGGAGGAGUGACGAUCUCUCGAAAAGAAGGCCGCGACUUAGCAUUCACUGCUCCCAAAGUAAGCUUUCUCAGUAAGACAUUCGAUCCUACACCGAUUCCUCGAAUUCCAAAUGAUCCGUUUCCAGAAAUCGCACAAUGUGAGACGUAAUUGAGCUUGGAAGACUUGAGCGGCCCGCAAAUUGACAGCGAUGGAGAGAUAGUUCUCAUAUUGAUCGGUUGUUAAACCCUAAUCAGUGCAAAUCAAAAGAUUGAAUGAUAGUGGAAGCAGACAUGGGAAACUAAAACCUCGACUGUGAAUGCAAAAUCUGCAGAUCGUUGGAGUGUCGUCGUCGCCGGCGAUGGUUGUAUUAGUGGAGAUCAUGAGAGGUUGCAUUCAGGAUUGGAGAGUGCGGUUGGGUUUUUCUCCGUUGAAGAACGGUUGGAGAGCAGGCGAGUUCAGCUCCGGAUUAUGAUAAAAGUAAACUACGGUUGACGGCGGAAGCGCAGUGAAAGUCGCACGUGGCGUUCAGAGAAUAAAAUACUGCUACGUUAAUUACAGAGAAAAUAUAGCACUGUUGGUUUGGUUAUUGGUCAAAUACUUGUCCUAUAAGUUUGGGAUAAGUUACUAAACAGUCCCUGUAACUUCAAAUUGAUAUAUAUAGAUUUAUCUCGUUUUUUUCUUAUCCAUUAUGUAGCAGUUUCGUUCUCAUUUUCUUCUUGUUCAUUAUGUAGCAGUUUCGUUCAAGAUAGAUGCUUAAUUUUCCGACAAUUUUUCAUUAUUAAACCCUCCACAUGAAAUUAAAAGUAAUUAAAUAUUAUCAUCCAUCCUAUACCCAUCCCACAUCAGCCGCUUAUUUUAGUCUCCGCCCCUCUUUAGUGCAUGAGCAUCAAAUGAUAUAUGGUGCUUGGAAUGGUUCUUUUGUACUUAUCUCUUAUUGCGUAGAGUCGUUUAUAAGGUGAAUAAUAUAAGAAUAUCUUCGUAUAAUCUGAUGUGGAGGGAUUGAUGAGGUAAAAUUGCUGGAAAACUGAACAUUCACCGUGAACAGAACUGCUACGUAACAUAGAAGGAAAAACGGGACGAAUCUAUAUCAAUUGAAACUUGAAAGUUACGAGAUUGUUUGGUAAUCGGUCCCAAACUUAUAGGACAAUUUAAGUAUUUGACUUGUUUGAUAUACUAGAUGAACUACAAAAUGUUUUUAAUUAUUGACAAAUCUAAAUAUGUAUUUGUAGAGAGUGAAUAUAAUUAUUAAGGAAAAACAAACUCAAAUGUAUAGACUUAUUAUUAUUACUACCAAGUUCUCUUUUGAGAGCGAAGUACAUUUUCGGGGAGUAAAGAUAUCGAUUAUUAUAUUAUGAUGAUCUCAAUUACAAUGAGUUGUAAAUAGUUACCGGAUUAACCUUAGUCUUUCAUUGAAACAGGCAAACUGAUAAGACCCAACUCAUUGACAAAAAUCAUAAAAUAACUCCAAAAAAUUGUAACGUCGUCAAGACUUUAUUCAGUUGCCCAUUGAUGUUCACGACAUUGAGUGGGUGUGCUUGCUAAAAAUCGGAGGAACAACUAUCUCGAACCCACAAUCUCCCGCUCCGGAGGCGAGUGCCUUAUCGAUUAGGCCACGCGACCAGCUGUAAGGUCAGGUUUGAUUUGGCUUAGUACAACCAUAGUAACCAAAUGGACAUCACUAGUAGUUACUUGUUAGGUUGGUCUUCAAAAACAUUGAACCAUUUGUCAAUAUGAGUUCAUUAUUCAAUCUGUAAAUACAAACACUCUUCUUUAUUCAGAAAUGAGCUAAUCAAUCAAUCAAAUCAUACAAAUCUUUCUCUUAUUUGGAACCAGUCCCAGAACUGACGUCCGACACAAACUUACUACUUCUCUUAGUAGCAACAAGCGGGUUAUCUUCGUCGUACUCUUCCAUCGCCAUCUCGGCGUGAUCGGCUGGAUCGUCUUUGAAAAUCGGAUGGACGUAAGCAUCCUGAAGAUACAUUCUCAGGUUCAGAUUCGGCUCCGUAGCUCUCUCCAACGUGUCCCUCACCACUGCUUCCUGCAUUUUUGGCACCGGAUCAUAACAGGUAGGUAAGUAGGGCUUUUGACGAGCCAAACUGUUCACUAGCAGCUCGAAACUAGUUAAUUCAUGACUCAACUUGAUGUUAAAUGAGUCAGGUAUGUUCGACUUGAUAGACUCGCGAGUUAGAGUUAUAUGUACUGUCUAGAAUUAACAAUUUAAAUGCUAUCAAGAGGGCAUUUGGUCUAGUGGUAUGAUUCUCGCUUUGGGUGCGAGAGGUCCGGAGUUCGAUUCUCUGAAUGCCCCGCACUUACUUUUUUAAUUUUCGAAAACUAUUUUAAAUGAGAAAUAUAUGAACUUGUAAUUUUUUUGGUAGCUUGUUAUUUUAGCCGGGCUCCUAGAUGUUCCUUUUAAUGUACAAGUUUCAAAUUAUGCUCAAAUUGGACUCAUCUGCGCGUUUCAAUGAGCGAUUUCGAGUCAAGGGUAGCUAAUGAGCUAUACUCGAAUAGUCGAAUAGGCUUGAGCUCAAGACGAGCUAAAUUUUUUUAGCUUGAGCUCGCCUAAAAAGCAAAGCGUCAAGUUUAAGUGAAGUUCGGUUCGAUGGUUCGUCAACAACGUAAGAGAAUUUGGUCUUCUUUCUUCGGCGAUCCAUUUUAUGACGGGAGAGAGAGUUGAAACAAAAACCUGUAAUGGGAAUUUGACGAAUGCAGAUUCGAAGCGGCCUUUGCAGAGCUUGUGGAACCAGAAGGUAAGAACAGGGAGAGCUACGAGACAAGGUGUCAGUUCCUCAGCUCCCUUUGUGCUCAGCAACCCCAUUAGUAGUAGCUGAGAUAUCACUAAUCCGAUUAUCAACCGUCGAUGCACGUCUGGCCAGUACGCAGCUCCACUCUCGUAUUUCUGGUCGUAGACGUUGAUGAUCUUUGACACAAUACAGGAAGCAAAAACACAUAUACGAUUAGUUGCUGCGAUAAUUCAAGAUGAUUCAAUGCACUAGAUUGGCAAGCAUGACAUUUGACUAAGGAUGCAAAACUAGAAUAAGAUAGUGUGCAAUUUAGUGGUAGUAUUCAUUAUAAACCCUCACGAUUAUCAUGAAUGAUGAUUUGAAAGCAUACCUGAUGACGGAAGAUGACAUAGGCGAAGGCGAAGAAGACAAGGAUGAAAGGGAGGAGCAUGGGAGUGACUGGAGCAUAAACAAAACCCAGCAAGAAGUAGAGCUGUAUCCUAGGCUCUGAUAUGGGGAAGCAUAUGCUACCAGGAUCCAUUGCUUCCUCUCUAUCUUGCUCCGUCUUUACCAAGAACCAGUUCUUCAAGUGGAAUAUGACUAAUGGCACCAAUCUCAGAAUUUCUGCUGCAAUUCCCGACCACCCAUCGACCAUUAUGUACGUAAUGAAGAACGUCGCUCUCAUUGGCAUCGACACACCGAUUGUCUGCGGGAUUCUGCAAAGGAAAAAAAGGAAAGAUAAGCGGAAUGCCUUAUUAAAAAAGAAGGAAGUUGAUUUUUAAACAUACUCGGAUGCAGACUGUUUCAUGAAAGAUUUGAGCUGCUCUAGAGCUGUUCCUGUGAUGAUACUGCCAAGGAAGACGUUGAUCAGAAGGAACAAGUGAUACUUGGAAGCUGCUCGCCUAUCCAACGAUGAAAGCGAGUGGUAUCCUUCGAUUUUGGCCAUGAACAUUAGUAUAGUUGGAAGUAUGAUGAGAAAUAUUUUCAAAGCGAUUCCUGGAAGAAACCCUUGGACUAUGGAUUUGACGGAUUCCCUGCAGUAGAGAAAAGUUUGUCAAUGCAUACUACUUUCAACAGAUUCUGUAUACAAAGAGACCAACCGCUUACACUUCUAUAAGAGGCUUCAAGAAAGGAAAAGCCUUCUCAAUUCCUUCAAUGGUGGCCAGGGACUGCACGAUUGCGAUGGGAAUGACGAAGAAGAAAAUCAAGAAGAACAGAGCUACUGCCAUAAGAAACCUCCGAAUAGUAUGCUCAACAUAUGGUAUUGCAAGGUUGUUCCAGUAGACAUCACGCGGCUCAGGAGCCCUUUCGGAGAGCCAUAUUGUCGGGUUGCUUGAUUGCUGAGUUUGUGCACAAACGGCAGCUGCCCAUCGUGAUCUGAAAGAAACAAAGGCUGCUGGUAUCACGGCAUUAGCAUCACUCAGAACCUUCUCUCUUUCCAUUUCUUCCUGCGUUGAAUUCAUAUAUACCAGACACCAUAUAAUAAGAAAAAGAGGAAAGAUUUGUGGUCUAUGGAAUUUGAUUCUGGUGAAAGAUCAUACACCUCUUUGGUCAACUUCUCAAUCUCGGUUUCGUAGUACUCAAUUGCAUCUACUUUUUCCCCAAUCAGACCCAUUAGGCCUGCCUAUUUCCAGAAAAAUAAGACCUUGUAUUAGAAAAGCCUUGAUAUUUUCAUUCAGGUAGAAUAUGAAAUAAAGGGUUCAUUAUUAGAAUUACCUUUGUGAUUGGCCUUUUAGAUGGAUUUCUUUCAAAUUUGUUCUGAUAAUAGGUUAACCUAUUCUUCAUGCUCUUCUUUUCUGCAACCACAUCUGCAAGCUUGUUUGCAUUGUACACUACCUAAAGUAUGAACAAUGAACCAUUUCACGUACAGAAAGACUUGUUUACAUAAUUACUCAUAUAAAUGAUGAACGAAGUUUGUGAAACAAGCGUACCUGGUGAAGGAGAUAGUGUUCUGGAUGAUUUACACAGAAGAAGUGCUCAACGUGAUCUGUCACUGAUUCAUCUGGAUCUGCGGGAACAUUUCUCACAAGAACCUACUAGAGUCAACACCAACCAGAUAAAACUCUGAGUUUGACGUAUGGAAAACAUUUUCAAAGCAGCAAAACUUGUUGAUAUAAGAAACUUACUGUGAAGUGGUCGGCACGACGAUUUUCCCCAGCCAAAAACUGCAGCCGCAUGUUAGCUACUGCCUUGUACUCAUUGUAGAUCACAUAGAAUGUCCAGAAUGUGAAGACAUAUGCCAUCACUGUAUGUGCCCAGAACCUUCAAUCAUAUUACCGAAUGCUAUUAUCAAUUGAAAAUAGUAUCUUAUCAAGUGAGACUCAUGGCAGACACUCAAAUCAUUUUUACACAAAAUAGAAACCCACUCUGCAUUACAGUGAACGGAAGGGCACGGGCAAUGAUUCAAGAGUCCAACGACACUGUCAUUGACGUUAAAUGCUACUGAUUUUAAGAACCAUAGAGCACACAUAUAACAUUGACUAAAGACCAACUGCUCUGCCACAUAGAUCAGGGUAACUUUAUCUAGUAAAUGAUGGAAACUGAUCUUAAUAUUACUUAAUCAAUAAACAAACCGUAGCCAAACACACUGAACUUAAUCAAUGGAUUUAUGGAUAAAAUGUGCAUCCCAAUCAUAUACAAGUGAGUUUUGGCUAUCCUGAACACCAGCAUAGUAUUCAGUAUUGAAUAUGCAACUUCGAGAGCACCUAUAAGUAGAUAUUUUUAACUUUUUGAAGGACUAGUGGUCAUUUCCAUAAGAUUUUUCUUGGUAAACAGCAUACCUUUUACCAAAGAAUCAACUAGAAUGUAUGUGAUGAACAAAACUUACCGUGGAGAAUUUUCUGGGUUGUUAGAUAUUGACAGCUUGUCAAUGUCACUGAAUGUCAAGUCUUUAAUCUUCUCUAGUGUCCCCCCAGUCCAAUUGACCGGGACCAAAACUGCAAAGGACAGUAAUGUUAUAGGAACAAAUAUUUUCAACCUGCAAAAAACAGACAUUCAACCCAAAGUUAUCAAGUUAUAAAUUUCAGGUGUCUGUAGCUUUUAUGAAAGUCAUGAACAUAAAUCAGGAACAAUAAGCUACCCCAUAAGGUAAAUCCGUAUAUAGACUACUGAGUCAAGUCCGGCGUGAUCAAUGAGUUCGGGUUCUGGCAUUCUCAAAGCUGCAGGCAUCCAGUUCAAAAACCGUACGUAGGUUCUAGGAUCCACAUUGAGAAACUUCUUCAUAAAACCCCCAUGGUGCGUAGGGCUACCUCUUAUCCCCUUAAGGUACCACUUCGGAAAGUAAACUCUGUCGUUUACAGGCUGAAGCCGUAGCAUUGCAAAUGCUAAAAGGAAAGCAAUAGCAGAUAGAAGAUUGAUAACUGCUGAGUAGCAAAUAUCUUCAAGUGUAGCCAUUUCUACCCUCAGAGUUCAAACGUCCACCUAGAGAACCCCAAACGUCCAGAAACAGAAUUAUGAGUAUAUCAUAUAGACCAUUGUAUCAUUCUAACCACAAUCUUUCAAUGGCGAUCAGAUUGGUCAAGCAGCGUAGCAAAAAAAAGCUUGAGUAAACAACUAUGAAAGACUUCCUCUAAAUCUAACAAACAGCAAAUUAUCCUAAAAUCUUAAUGGAAUUCAGGUGUUCAUAUCCGUCAUCUAUUUGGAAAUUUAGGGCACGAGAAUUCAACAAUUACAGUAGCCUACGUUCAAUCAUACACUGAGUACUCACCAACACAUGAACUGACAAGAUUAAAAGAAGAAGGACAGUUCCUCAAUCCGAUCAGAUCAAAUCGGAGCCGGAGGGAAAAUCUUUCAAAUCUAGACCUGAAGUUAGGCUUCGUCUGGCUUAUAAGUAAAAAAAAAUGAAGAAACAAAAGUAAUUCAAAUCAAGAUCAGCUGGCGGGGCAGGAUCGGAGUUACAGAGGAAACAAUAAUCAACUUUGUAACGCAUUGUUAUCACGGAGAAUCUCUUGACACAAUGGAAUCGCUAGCGGACUUCACAGAGAAAAUGAAAUCAUCGGAUGAUAAACGAUUUAAAAAAUUAAGCGUUCAUAACGAAGAGAAAUAAGAAAAAGCAAUACCAAGAGAUUAGUGUAGUGCCGGCGGUGGAGGAACCGGAGGUCACGGUGAAGGAGGAGAAAACAGAAACGAGAGAUUGCGAUUUGCGAUGCCAAGGUAACUUGAAAUUUUUUGAGGAGUCAGAGAUUGGAGAGAGGUUGAGGGGCUUCGGUUGUCGUUGAUUCCGAAGUGAGUACUCGUCGGCGAUGCAACGGGCGGCGGAGGCGGAGGAGGAAAGUUUGGCGCCAAGACGCGCGUGGCGAAGAGGUAGGAGGAGCCCGCUUGUGUAUAUAUUCGCGUGAGGAGUUUGUUCUUAACGGUAUACAGCUGGGCCCAGGGAAAGACCAGUAAUUUGAACUAGUAAAUUAGUUCAAAUGGUACCUCAUGUUUUGUUAUAACCUAAAAACAGUUCAGAAGUAUUGGAAAAAUCGAGUAAUUCGUAAAAUUAGCUUUUAGAAGAAAUUGAAUAAUUCAUAAAAAUAGUUCGGAAUAUCAACUCUGGAGCAUAUGGUUGUAAUUCACUCAGCGAUUCUACAUGAGCUAUUCUUCAUGUGGUUGAAACUCCCUACCCAAGUAUUUCUAAUCCUUUAGUACUUGAGCAGCUAGUUGUACGCGAUGCCCGUUUCUGAUGCAAUUGAGUUGGAUGUCAAGCAGGUGGCUACUUACCACCACCAGGGCCACGUAUUGUUCAUUCUAGUGGUUCGAUUGUUCAUGACAUCCUUUAGCUCAUGUCCCUCCGGCCCGAGGCUCCGCCUUCAAACAAUUGUUCGUUUUGCCAAUAUAGCCAUCUCAUUCUUUGACACGCCUGACUUUUAACUAUUUUUUGGCGUUUUGUAAAUAGUCCUCACCCUUUAUGUAGAGAUGUAAAGUUUACUAUUUUCUAUCUUGACGAAAAUAUUUCUAUAAAGAAACAACAAUCAAUUUUUAUUAUGUCGGAUGGUUAGCCUCAUAUAAAGUAAAUUUUCUUCUUAUAUAAAAUUUUCUUUUCUAUAUUAAAUCAAUCAUAAAUCUUGAUGUAAUUGAUUUUUUUUUCUGUUGCGAUAGAUCGAUUAAUUGAAACUUACACUUAAUCAUUGUUAUAUAUAAUUGAUGUGUGAGUUUCAACAAAUUGCAAGUAGAAAAUCAUGAUGUUCAACCUAUUCACAAAUAUAUAUUUUGGAAGAUAAAAUUUGAGUUCUUUAUCAUUCAAAUAGUAUAGUGAAUUUAUCAAAUAACUGGUAUACCGAAGUUUAUAAAAAACAUCCUGAGUGAGUUUCGAGCAAAUUAUGAUAAUUGAUUGAUCGCAUUAGUAAGCAUAGGUUACUUAACUUGUCACAAAUGUCUUCAUCUUAUCUAAAAAAAUUUCAAUGAAUAUAUUUUCUAGUUUUAAGUAUUAUUACAUUUCCACAAGUUUGUUCUGUUGUUAGUGAAGGUCUUAUUUUGAUGAACUAUAAGUUGUCUUAUUUGGCGGUAAAAACCAUGACCCAUUUUCCACGGUGAUGCUAUAAUUUAACCGUGUUUGUCGUUAUCGAAAUUAUGGUAAAUUUGCUUAAUUAUGGUAAAUUAUAAGAGUUCUUUUAAAUUGUGUCGUGGAGCUUCACCACCAAUAUCAUUGCCGCAACACAUCCCUACCUUACACUACAGUUUAUAGUUGUCAACAUCGCCAUCAUCGUCAACGUCGUCAUCAUUACUGUUGUAUAUAUCGCUUAUCAUUGUCGUUGUUACACUCAUACCCUCUUCCAAGAAAUAUGAUCAGGACAUCAUCCAUGUGUCACCAAUCAGGGGCGUUCGGUCCGAUUCUCUGAAUUUGAAAGUUGGAGCAGUUAAGAUCCUAACCUCUCUUAGCAAGUCAAAUAGGGGUGUUGCUACCUGCAUUUAAGUUUGCUAAGUUUUUUCUUUAGUUUUAUUUCUAACUUCACCUUUUUCUUUGUUUUCAGUUUGUGUUUGUGUUGUUGAUGAUUGUUAAAUCCCAAUUAAAUUAUCCGUUUGUUGAAUAAGAAGAAUUGAGGUGUUUGCUAUUAUAAGGAUCCUCGAUCCAUGCUAACAUUAUUGAUGAAAACUGCACGUCUUAUGUUGCUAUAACUUGAUAAGAAAUAUAAUGAGACGAUUUUAUAAAAAGAAAAUUGUGUUGUGGAGUUGGUCCAUUAAGAAAAUGUGAUAGCUUUGCAGACUCGGACAACGUUAAGCCCAACUCAUCGGGAUAAAACCCAUUAAGAAAAUGUAAGGGCUCAAUUCGAAUUCAAGUAUAAAAAACGUGACAUGUGGUAAAUUCUUUGGGUUCCAACAUAGUUUACAAAAUCACAUCACUCUAUUCAAUAAUCGUUUAAUUAAACCGUUAUAAAUAAUAUUCGAACUGUGAUUAAAUUGAAAUCGAAUCGAUUUGUUUUGAUGUGCGAUUAAAGAUUCAACUGUUACAACCAUUAGCGCUGAUACGAUUAUUCUACUCAUCUUUACAAUUUCAAGAGCUUUCAGAAAAAUUUGAGUCAACGAAACCAAUCCACCCUUUGGAAUUCGCCCGGUGAAAACACCCUUAAAUCUGUCCGCUCAUUGCAAACAUCUUGCACUCUCUGCCCAUAUUUGGUUGUGUUGGUUGGUCGGACGUCAAGUGGGCAUCAACGGAUUAUUAUAUAUUUUUAAUAGUUUUUACAUGUUUAUAUAUGCAAGGGUGGACCGAAUAUUGAGUUAAAUUUUUUUUAUGUACGACCAAGCAUGUAAAUAACAAACGAAUAUUGAAAACAAGGAUUCUAAUUUUGGUCCAUCAUUCACUCUCAAGUCUCACCGAAACGACCAAUCGACAACAAAGUCAUACUACCAAACAGAAAAUACAAAACAAAAAUAUCUCCAACGGUAUAUAAAUAAUGACGUCAGCACACAGCAGAUAUAUAUCUCCACAAACCGCCAAAAACCAAAAGGAGAGAGAAAGUUAGUUGCGGGACCACCUCGAUCCCUUCGCCGUUACGUCUCCCCUCGUCGAGCUAAGCUAUCUAGUGCUCCCGUUCUCCACUGUCUGGUCGCAAUCCCCGCCGCGUUCGCUGUCAUCCCCGCCGCCUCCGUCUUCCAGACUGUCAUCCCCGCCGUCUCCGUCUUCCAGAUCCGAUACAGCUCCCUCUUCAUCAGAGGACAGCGGUACCAGCCAGCACAUCCCGUGGAGGUGCCCGUUGACGCAUACGAAAUACUCCACCCCGCCGUCCUGAGAGGCGCCGAGCCUCUUCGCCGCGCUCCUCGGUACAAGCCUCGCCGCCGUCAUGCUCCAAACCCUGGCGCCGCAGUACGGACACCUCACCUUCUCCUCCAGCCUGGCCUGCCUCCUGAUCAGGCACGCCCGAGUCUUCGACCUCAUAAAUCCCCGAAAUACCCCUCUGUACACCCCAAAAUCGUCCUCCUCCUCCCCCAUCGAAUGCUCGCACGGGUCGCUCACGUACAGCAGGUCCCCCCUGCAGUUCUUCGCCAGGAAGCUCCGUCCGGAUGUCUUCGAGAAUCGAGACGCCUGCGCCAGGUGUCCGGGCGACGGGCGGUUCACCGGUUUGAAGCUCCCAUUGCUGAGCUGGUGGCUGCAUCCGCAGCAGAAGAACAUCAGUUUAGCUAGCGCGUGCCAUCCUCCGUCGAUUCUCCCGCCCCCGUUGAGAGAUCCGCCGUUGGAAAGCUCGGACAGCAUCUUCGGAGCGCGGUACACGCAUAGCUCCCGCCACAGCAGCCGCUUCGCCACCGCCUGGAGCUUCCUGUUCACCGCCGCCGUCGCGCAGAGCGUCGGGAGGUCCCACUUUAUUGACUCGAAUACAAGGACUAGAAUCCGCUCGUUCAAAAUCCUGGAGGCUGACGAGUCAGAUCCGGCAGCAUGACUCAGUGGCUUAACUCGCUUGUUCUGAUUAUUGUUCAUCAUUUUGAUUGGACGGAGGAGGAAGUGGAGGAGGAGAGGAGGAAAACGGUCAGCGUACGAUUUUUCCGGGAGUAAAGGAGCCUUUUAUAUGCGGUUUCGAGAGUGGACACGUGUCUAAAUCUGAAUGGCUGUCGUUUACUGGCGUGGAUCCAUAGAGAACAGUUAAGGCCACGUGGUUGGGGAGGAUUGGGAAGAGGAGGACGCGUGUGCAGGUGGGAUUGCGGCAGAUGCCGUAAUUGAAUAAAAAAGUAAAAGAAAUGGACGGGAAGAUAAUUUGGCAGUACGUGGGGUGGGAGCCGUUGUAUUGUUGUAAGGAGGACACGUGGGUGGUGGAUGGGGAAGUAGGGAAAUAUAUUUUUCAGGGAAAAUAUCUAAUAUAAGACUUUACUACAUGUCAGCAUUGGGUGGUGUGUUGGCAAAUGUGUGCAUUAUCCAAGAAAAUAUCUUGAAUUAUUAAAUUGGCUAAUUCCCCGCUUUUUCUGUUUGAGAAUCUUUUCCUCCGUUGCCACGUGUAGUGGGAUGCCAACCAUUAAGGUGGUGAAACGUGGCGCAUUUGUGUGCGUUACUAAUUCGGUUGCUCAAUUAUUUAUAAUUGACUGUGAUUACAAAAUAAAGUGACUCAUAUAUCGCUUUGUGCAAAUAUUCGUGGUGAAGGAGUUCAUUAUUAUUGUCUGUAAUAAACAUAUUAAUUACAUCAAAGUGACUUGUAUAUAACUUAUGAAGUGCCAUUAUAUAUAUAUGUAGAAAUAAAAAAUGUUAAAAACAUAUUCAUAUAAAUUACUUGCUGCAAUCGAUCCUAGGAUCAAUAGGAACAUGAAUAACAUGACAUAAGUCAAGAAGACCUUUGACAAUAACCGAAUCCACGUGGUAGGCAAUGGCCGCAGAUUUGAAGCAAGUGCACAGUUGUUGGCAAGUGCCUCGUCGUUCAAUACUUUUACAUUUGAGCAGCACUGAAGAGCGGAGAAGGUGUGUUGUUUUGUGAUGUAUGCCAAGCAUGAUAAUAACUGCAACAAUGCACUUGGGCAAGUCACUACUUGUGCGACCACACUUGUUGCGUGACCCAUAACUAUCAAUGUCAACAUCAACAUUGUUACCGUACCAGUGGUGUUAUUCACUUUCUUCAUUACGAUCACGUUGAGUUUUCACUCAAAUUUCGCAAGGAGAUAGAAAUGCAGGAUUCUUUUAAUUCAAGUGUGUUAAGACAAUGACAAGUACACGAUGGCCAUGGCACACUUCUCCUUUUUUUAUAAGGAUGAAUGUUUACUGCUUGUGCAUUAUUGCUGGAUUUUCAUCUAUGAUUUAUGAGACAAUCUUCUUUUCCUCUCCAUUAUUGGAUUGUCGGGGUCGCCUAGGUCAAGCAGAUUCUUUGAAGAACUGGCUCCGGAUCAAGCAGAUCAUCUUACCAGAGGGGUUUUCCAGCAGUUUCCUAUCUGCUCUGAGGCAGCCUUUGUUCCAAGAGAUCUGCUAAGCAUGGCAUGAACAGGAGUUUGGGUUUGAUCAUCCAAUGGGUUGGCUAAACAAUUUCAAUCCUGCUACUUGAAGAUUAGAAAUUCCAUAAAAAAGGAUGGAAAAAUAUGUGCAUGAUUUCUCUCAGACAAAUGCCUCGAUUGUCGUCAAGUGUAUUUUGAAUGGAUAGUCGGACUCGUCAUCUGUUUAUAUCAUCAUCGAGAAAUCACACACAAAAUUGGCCCAUACAGGUCUCGAACCUGUGACCUUCGCGUUAUUAGCACGACGCUCUAACCAGCUGAGCUAAUAGGCCUUGAUAUGUGAAGUUCUGCUGAACUCUUUAUAUAGUAAGGUAAUCACUAAUCAGUCACUUCCAACAAGAGAAUUCAACAUCACAUAUUAGGUUGUGAACUUGUGAUAUGUUGUUGUGAUGGUAACCGUGGAAUCAUUUUAAAUUUUAAGAAUACAAAUUUUUUUCGUCGUUUGUUCCAUAAUGUACAUCGAGCUAUUAAUUAUUCGGCGAUUUUAAAAAAUCUUUAGUAUUAUGUUGUUUACUUUUAGUUAUGUUUAGUGUUCAAUUUUUUAUAAUAUUUAUGACUCUUUGUAUAGUACAAACAAGCAUUUUCUUAGCCGAUUUUCUAACUCCGCUAAUCAACUCAGUUUCUAAUUCUACAACAGUGACGGAUAAACAGCAAUUUAACUUCCCCAAUACGUACUCAGACUAGGCAAUACAUACAUGUUACUACUUAUACUUUUGAAAUUUGUCACUUAAGGCAUCUCAUGACAGCCUUGAGGGAAGCCAACUCCUUCUCCUCAUCUUCAAUCGACUUCCUCAGCAAUACCUCGCUCUUCUCCAUUAACUUCUUCCAGCAUUCUUCAUCAGUGGCAGACGGUUUCGAAUCAUCAUCUGUCGUAGCAGGUUUCGAGUCCUCAUUCACAGGACAUAAUGAACGCCGGCAACAAAGAAGCCAUGGAUAUAUCCCCUUGAAAUCAUACGAAAAUGGUUGGUGUCCAAAGUUAACUUUCACCCUGCCAAACCCAAAUCACAAUAUAAAUUACAAUUACAGUACUAGCUAUCCACAAACAAAUGUGUUAAGAUCAGAUAAUAACAAAUGGGUUGGAUUUGCAAGAUACUGGCUAGGUUUCUGCUGUUAAAUAUACAGUUAAUGUUUGGGUGUCAAGUUGCUCCUUGAGUUACACACAAAUUAAAGAGGAUUAUUUACCAGUACACUGAACAGUGAACACUUUGGUUAAUUAAAAAUGGGGUCUUUUAAUAGAUAUUGGGGUCAAUAGAAACAAGGAACAUUGACGUGGCAUAAAUUAGGAAGACCCUUGGCAACAGUCGGAUCCACAUGAUAGACAAUGGCCGCAGAUUUGAAGCAGUGUUGGCCUCACUGUUCAAUUGUUUCACACUUGAGCAACACUGAGGAGAUGGUGAUGGGGUUUGUUUUGUGAGGUAUGUCAAGCAAGGUAGCAACUGCAACAAUGCACUCGGACAUGUUAAGGGUUGUUGUGCGACCACGCUCGUUGUUGAACCCGUAAUUAUCAACGCCAACGUUAACAUCGAUGCAACGAUAUCCAAGUUACUCACUCUCUUCAUUCUUAUCACACUCUGUUCUGUAAAGGAAGAAAGAGAUGGACUAGCAAGUUCUUUUUUACUGUUAUUUGCUUAAGAUUUGUGAGAAACAUGAAGUCUAGAUUAUUCAUGUUAUGAAUCAAGAGAUCUAUUUCUUUUUUUGAAAAAAAAUACUUAUCUGGUAAACAAUUAAAUAUGUUUCUAAGUUUGAUAAAAUUAAUAAAACUGCGAUAUAGCAUGGUUUCUGCACAGGGAUGACGCAUCAAAUAUGCUUCUAAGUUAUAUGUGAUUUGCAUAUAUCUCACAAUCUUUCUUAAUGUGCAUGUUUUGAAGGCAUUUUGGAUAACAUGCCAGAUAAGGGAAUCACAAAUAUGGAGAUCCAUAGCUGGAAUUCGAGGUUAAAAACGUAUUUUUACAUGUAUCGAAACGAAACGUUACUAAAUCAAAUUUAACUGCAUUGAGAAAUAUAUACCCAGUUGCCAGUUCCAAAUUGUUAUUAAAAUUUGGCUUGGGAAUUCGACUUCAGGUACAACUUUCAUCAGUUGUAAUGUUUAUUUCUUUCUAUAUUGUGUACUCUAUCGACUAUCAUACAUGUUUAAGGUUUGAUUUCAUAUAUAAUUUCUGUUUAAUGAUCUCUACUAAAGUGGAUUUUAGACAGUUCUGAUAUUAAAUAGAAUUUCACUUACCAAAACAAUAUGUUGGAAAAAAGUACAAAAAUGAUAAUUUUUGAAUUGAUGAGGCGGAAAAGCACCUAUUUUCGACUCAAGUAUUGCUCGAUUAUAAUUCUUAUUGGCCGAAAAUUAAGCUCGACUCAGGUGAUGCUCAAUUUUACGAGACAUAUCGGAGCUUACUUCAUUAGUCCCUUCGAGUUCCGAAUGAAACUAAAUAGCUAUACUAGUACUAGUACUUAAUUACACACUUGAAAUUUCACAACGGCAAAAUGGGUUUCGGUGAAAAGAGUACAAGAACAGCAUCAGUCAUAAUAGUAUUAUCAAUCCUUGUCCUGCUCGGAUUUGGUCAGGACACCUACAACGUCGUCUUUUGUGGAACACUGCAAAGGGGCUGGAAACCACUCCAUUUGUAUCGGCCAGACGUUUUCGAGCAGUGACCCGGCUAGUGGGGAUCUUCGGGCUGGUACCGGAAAGCUUGGUGAACACAAUGCGGUGACAGUGCCUUGGUGGUCGGGCCCCACGGUAAGGAUCAAGACUCCUCCGAAACAUUCUCUAGUUUACGCGCUUGCCAACUGCGCACGCACCAAGACUAACUUUUUCUUACACGGGAGAGUCGCGUUACGAGUGUUUGAGGAAGGCUAAACGAGCACCGCGUAAGACCUGCCCUCAUCGAGUGGGGGGUCAGUACAUGUGUGACAUUUGAUAUUUGAGGUACGAGGUUUAUGACUUCAUCGGGCAUCGAUGUAAUAACCAAUGGUCGACUAAAAUUGUAUCGGAUGAUCGAGCCCGUUUAUUUAUUUAUACAUGAAAUUAUUAAAAAGGAACCAUUGAUUCCAAACAUCCAUUUAGCAAAAUCACUUAAAAGUGAAAAUGAAGAGGUUCCGAAAUAUCAGCAACUUUGAAAUCAUUGUCUACACAAAUCCGAACACAGUUUUUAUUUGUAGUGUAAGUUUGAGAUACAGAAUUUAUGGAAAAAGUAAAUAAGUAGCGAUAUAGAACUAUGCGAUGCCUCUUUCAUCUCUUUAUUUUUAUGAGACUUCACUUCAAAUUUUAUCCACGAUUUCCUUAUAAUUAGACUGAAAUCCUGUAAAACACACACACACACACGAGGAAGGCAGAAUUCACCAUCAUGAAAUAUUAAUAUAUCAAGCAAAAUAAAAAUUGUUCUAAAACAGCACACAAAGAAGAUAUAAUGACUUACUUGCUGCAAUCGAUCGUGGGGUCGAUGGGGACGGGGACAUUAACAUGGCAUAAAUCAGGAAGAACCUUGACAACUGGUGGAUCCACGUGAUAGGCAAUGGCCGCCGACUUGAAGCAAGUGCAUAGCUGUUGGCGGAUAAGAGUGGUGCUGGCCUCGUCGUUCAAUAGUUUUACGUUUGAGCAGCACUGAGGAGAUGGAGAAGGUGUUUGCUUUGUGAUGUAUGUCAAGCACGGUAGCAACUUCAACAAUGCGCUCGAACAUAUUGCCGGUUGUUGUGCAGUUACGCUAGUCGUUGAGCCCGUAACGAUCAAAGCCAACAUCAAAACUGAUGCAACGGCAUUCAUGUUGUUCACUCCCUUCAUUUUUGUCACACCGGCUCUCUGACUCUCUCUGUAGAAAGAUGGAUUUCCAAUACUAUUUGUUCGAGUUUGAUGAGAAGCAUGAAUGGGGGUUUUCCUUUUUAUAGGGAUCCAUAGCUAUUGUGGUGUUUAUAGUUAUAAAUCAGAAUCUGAAACAUAUUUAAUGGACAAUAUUUUAUAUUGUGCAUGUACUGAAGGUAUUUCGGAUAAAAUUGAACGUUUUCAUGAAUUGUUCAUAUUUAUUCAUUGCACAUAAUCUACCAAAUUCUUGGCACCAAAUUAAUUCAAUAUAUAUGUCUAAUUGCAUGUGAUCUUAACCCAAAAUAUCUCCAACCUAAUUAACUAAUGGGAUUGUUGUAUAACACCCUACAUUUUACUGUAAAACAUCCUAACAUUGUCGGAACAUUUGAAUUUGAUAGCUGAAGUGACCUAAACGCCCUUGCAACAGUAAAAUCAAAAGUGACCAACCACUGUUCCGUCGCCGCCGCCACCGCCCGCCAAUAAGGUAACAAAAACAAAUUAAAUGAACGAUCGGCAUGCCAGCCGCCCACAAAACAGCCGGCAUUCGACGACGACCGUAUUGAACGCCCCGCGGCCGUGGGAGGCGGGCGGGGGUGGGCUGUGGGGUGUCUUGAUUGUUUUUUAUUUAUUUUUCACUAUAUUUUUUUUUUUUUGUUUUUAAUUUUUAGUGUUUUGAGUUAGUGGUAUUUAGUCUAGUAAAUUAGUAAUUAAAUAUAUGCGAUAAUUAAAUAUUUAUUUAUUUAAAUUUUGGAAAUUAUUAAUUAGUCAUGCUAAUUAAGAUUAAUUAGUAAAUAUAAGUAUCAAUUAAUUUGAUAAUUAUAGACUUGGUAAUCAAAUAUUUAUUGAAUUAAUACUUGAAAAUUAAUAAUUAGUUAUGAUGAUUUAGGUUACUUAAUAUAUAUACUAUCAAGUAAUUUGGAAUUACAUAUGUGGUAAUAAACCCUAAUAUUUAUAAAUUCACUUUAAUUAUUAAUAUUCACAAAUUCACCUAAACUCUAACAUGAUUAAUUACUAACUUUUAAAUAUUCAAUUAUCAAAUAUUUAAUAAAACAAUUUUUACUAUCAUUAGUUAUAUUUACUAAUUCACUUUAAUUAGCAUUACUAAACCCUAAUUUUCAAAAAUUAAUUAAAAGUAAGAACCUANNNNNNNNNNNNNNNNNNNNNNNNNNNNNNNNNNNNNNNNNNNNNNNNNNNNNNNNNNNNNNNNNNNNNNNNNNNNNNNNNNNNNNNNNNNNNNNNNNNNNNNNNNNNNNNNNNNNNNNNNNNNNNNNNNNNNNNNAUAAUAGCUAACAAAUAGAAUACCCUAUCAUGAGACAUGCAUGAAAUAUAUUGCAUGGAACAUGCAUGUAAAUGGAGUGGAAUUUAGGGUUGAGGGUGUAGCAGUGUAAAUGAAGAAACCCUAACCGCUAAACCCUAUUUCUAAAUUCUAAACCCUAAAUCCUAUUUUUAAAUUAAAAAUCCUAAAUCAUGUUUCUAAAUUCUAAAUCCUAAAUCCUAAACCGCCAAACCCUAAACCCUAAAUCUUAUUUAUCACUAUUAUUACUCAAAUUAACCAAGUAUGUAAUUAUCAAAUUAAUCGUUACUAUCUUUACUAAUAUUUAUUAAUUAACCUUAAUUACCAUGACUAAUUACUAAUUUUGAAGAAUUAAUCAAUUAAUUGUUCACCUAUUUAAUUACUAAUUCACGAAACUAAUCUAACACCUAAUGACAUUUAAAUACACUAAACUAAAUCUAAACCCUAAUUACAUUUAAAUAAUAAAAAUAUAAUAACUUUUUUUAAAAAAAAUAGGACGGUCGGCGUGCCGAUGCUCCAAAUUUUUUUUGUACCUCGUCGGCGGGCGGUGUGCGCUUGGCGGCGGGAUCGUGCGGUGACGACGAAUGAUUUUAAAGAUGUGUAUUUAAAGAUUAGGUUUGAGGGGCAUUUCCGUAGUUUAACUCGUUGAAUUUAAAUGAUAUGGCGUUGAGUAGUAAAACUAAGGCGUCUUAUAGCAAUUCAGUUAACUAAUUAAAUAUGUCCAGAUAUGUAAUGUACCAGUUAAGGGAAGCACACAUAUCUAGUACCAAACAUGGAGAUAUAACUACAAAAAAUUCAUGGCGAAAAGGUUCUUUUACAUGUAUCAAAUCGAAUCGAAACGUAACUAAAUCAGGCUUAACCGCAUCAAAAAUCAUAUUUUGUUCGACUUGCAAUUUGUAAGCUUCAAAUUUGGGUUAUGAUUCAGUUUAAAAGGCAUGAUUCGGAGAUUGAAAAGUUAAAUCAAUGUUCGAAUCCAAAUGCCUAAUCGAUUGAUGCUUGAUAUUUUCAUUUUUACUGAAAGAGUGUAGUUACUCAUAAUCUUACAUCAUAGGAGUCCGGACAGGCGGCAAAUAAAUUUCAGGAGGGUAGUUUUGUCAUCCAAAAUUUUAAAUUGAAAUUUUAAAUUGAAAACUCAAUAUUCUAAACCUUAAAUUUAAAAAUUUAAAAUCUAAAAUCGAAAUCUAAAAUCUAAAAUCUAAAAUCGAAAUCUAAAAUCUAAAAUCUAAAAUCGAAAUCUAAAAUCUAAAAUCUAAAAUCGAAAUCUAAAAUCUAAAAUCGAAAUCUAAAAUACCUCAUACUUUAAGUUUGUUUUUUACCGUCAGAUCUAACGUCCGAAAUGA